rnacentral:lncRNA from 1 species
CAUGCAUCUUACACCUCAGAAUAUCAUCAUCGUCAUCAUCUUUUUCAAACUCUUGAAAGAAAGAGCGUGUUGCUAAGAUGUUGAAAUACUCUUCUCCAAUCAUCUCCAUUUCUUCGUCUUCAUCUGCAUUAAGGUAACCUUGAGCCAUCCAUAGAUUAAUCAAUUCCCUUUUAUUCAUAUUGUAGUCUUUUGGAAAGACAGCACAAUAUGAGAAGCACCGUUUUACCAUAGAAUUGGAGGGCAAAUCGUUAUAACUCAACAACAAAGGAGCCAAAAGACCUUGCUUAAUCUCUUCUACUUUCCACACUUCACUAUCUAAAAUUCUUUGCCACUCAUUUACUAUACUUUUAGAGGACAAGAGAUUCCCUGUACGUUUAUCGCACAAGAGGUUCCCUGUUACCUUUGCAGCAAGAGGCAGGCCUUUGCACUUGCGUGCAAUUUGUCGUGCGAUUGGUUCUAAUUUUUCACGAUCAACAGAAGAAUGACCGAAAAAUGCGAACCGCUCGAACAACGACCAGAAUUCAUCUUCAGGCAAUGGCUUAAUGGAGAUAAUAUUUGUUGAUCUCAUCAUACGGGCAACUGACACAUUACGUGUGGUAACCACAAUUUUACUUCCGGGAAGACCAUUCUUUAGACAAAAGAAGAAUUGAGCCCAUAUAUUAUAAUUCCCAUCCCAUACAUCAUCUAAGACAAGAAAAAUUUUUUUCCCUUCAAUUGAUCUAUGGAUAUGGCUCAUAAGAGAUUGGAAUUCGCUUAAACCAGAAGCUUCUUUUGACUCGUCUAGACCUUCAAUAAUUGCUUUGGCGACCCUCAUCUCAUCAAAAGUGUCCGAUACACACACCCAUAUAACUUUUUCAAAAUUUAUUUUCACCUCAUCAUUAUUAUAGGCUAGUUGUGCAAGAGUGGUUUUACCUAUACCCCCUAACCCAACCAGUGAGAUGAUAUGAGGAUGUUGUUCGCCAUUCUCACCCAACAACUUACCUAACAGCUCAUUUUUCUCGUCAUCUCUACCAAAAACCUCUCCCUCAUCAAUCAAGAAGGUGGUUCGCACUCGCUCUGGUUUCUUAACAUUGUUACUCACAUUCUCAACAAAUUUGAAACUAUCUUUUUGUCUGGCAAUAUCAUCUAGCUUUUCACUGAUUUCUCUAAUCUUGACAGCAAUAUCAUGACGAAGACUGAGUUGUUUGAAACCACCAAAGCAGUUUGAGGCAGCAGGAAAGAAGGAACAUACCUUCGUCAAAAGAGUAACAAAAGCAUUGGCGUCAUCAUCAUCAUCAUCAUCGCCGUCCUCAUCAAGCUGCAAUUUCCGUGUUUCAGUGAUCCACUCUUCCAACACAUCUUCCAUGUCGUAGGAUGCGUCUCUGAGCUGAUCCAGCCAAAAAGUAACAGCGUUGUCCUGCUUCAUUUGCCUCUGCUCUGCAUCUUCCAGCACAGCUUGAAUGGCUCAUUACUCAGCCCUUCUACUCUACAUUCACGAAGGAGUUGAAGAUUUUUCAGAGAUUCAAGCCUACACGUAUUGUUACCAUCAACACCUCCACCCACAACAAACUUUUCUAAUGUUCGAAGGCUGGUCAAUCUGGAAAUCCCUAUUGGCAGGUACUUCAACGAACUAGUAUCACCAUUUAGUAAACUCCUCAUGUUCUUUAACUUCCCAAUCCCCGUAGGCAAUUCUCUUAGAUCUUGGCACCGCCUAAUAUCUAGCUUUUGUAAAUUAUAUAAUUCACACAAAGUCUCAGGUAGACUCUCUAUACGUAGUCCAGACAAAUUAAGAUAUUUUAAAUGUAUCAAUUUUUCAACAUUUUCUGGAAUUUCUCUAAUCAAAUUUAGGUCAGGACGAAAAAUUGGGGACGGUUGGCUUAUAACUAAUGCCCUUAAACACGCCAAUUUACUAAAUAACUCCCGAAGGAUACUACUAUUAAGAGAUGGAUUGGAAGGACUUUCAUCAUCAAUUCCGAGUCCAGGACUGGACACAAGAUAUAAAACUGCAUUGACAAGACUAUAAGCGGAUGAAAUAGCCAUGGAUUGAAAUAAAGAUGGAUUGUAAUGACUUGUAUCAUAAAUUAAGAGGCUACGCAAUCGAUCAAAUUCAAAAAAGGACAUAGGAAAUGAAGCUCCUCUUUGAAAAUUUAACCCUAUGUGACGGACUUUCUCACCAAAAAAGUUUAUGACUAAUUCCUUGGUACCAUUUAUUUCUACCCACAAACAUUCUUUUCUACUUACAAAUUGGGCAAAAUCAUGUACUAUGUCAUGCAUCUUACACCUCAGAAUAUCAUCAUCGUCAUCAUCUUUUUCAAACUCUUGAAAGAAAGAGCGUGUUGCUAAGAUGUUGAAAUACUCUUCUCCAAUCAUCUCCAUUUCUUCGUCUUCAUCUGCAUUAAGGUAACCUUGAGCCAUCCAUAGAUUAAUCAAUUCCCUUUUAUUCAUAUUGUAGUCUUUUGGAAAGACAGCACAAUAUGAGAAGCACCGUUUUACCAUAGAAUUGGAGGGCAAAUCGUUAUAACUCAACAACAAAGGAGCCAAAAGACCUUGCUUAAUCUCUUCUACUUUCCACACUUCACUAUCUAAAAUUCUUUGCCACUCAUUUACUAUACUUUUAGAGGACAAGAGAUUCCCUGUACGUUUAUCGCACAAGAGGUUCCCUGUUACCUUUGCAGCAAGAGGCAGGCCUUUGCACUUGCGUGCAAUUUGUCGUGCGAUUGGUUCUAAUUUUUCACGAUCAACAGAAGAAUGACCGAAAAAUGCGAACCGCUCGAACAACGACCAGAAUUCAUCUUCAGGCAAUGGCUUAAUGGAGAUAAUAUUUGUUGAUCUCAUCAUACGGGCAACUGACACAUUACGUGUGGUAACCACAAUUUUACUUCCGGGAAGACCAUUCUUUAGACAAAAGAAGAAUUGAGCCCAUAUAUUAUAAUUCCCAUCCCAUACAUCAUCUAAGACAAGAAAAAUUUUUUUCCCUUCAAUUGAUCUAUGGAUAUGGCUCAUAAGAGAUUGGAAUUCGCUUAAACCAGAAGCUUCUUUUGACUCGUCUAGACCUUCAAUAAUUGCUUUGGCGACCCUCAUCUCAUCAAAAGUGUCCGAUACACACACCCAUAUAACUUUUUCAAAAUUUAUUUUCACCUCAUCAUUAUUAUAGGCUAGUUGUGCAAGAGUGGUUUUACCUAUACCCCCUAACCCAACCAGUGAGAUGAUAUGAGGAUGUUGUUCGCCAUUCUCACCCAACAACUUACCUAACAGCUCAUUUUUCUCGUCAUCUCUACCAAAAACCUCUCCCUCAUCAAUCAAGAAGGUGGUUCGCACUCGCUCUGGUUUCUUAACAUUGUUACUCACAUUCUCAACAAAUUUGAAACUAUCUUUUUGUCUGGCAAUAUCAUCUAGCUUUUCACUGAUUUCUCUAAUCUUGACAGCAAUAUCAUGACGAAGACUGAGUUGUUUGAAACCACCAAAGCAGUUUGAGGCAGCAGGAAAGAAGGAACAUACCUUCGUCAAAAGAGUAACAAAAGCAUUGGCGUCAUCAUCAUCAUCAUCAUCGCCGUCCUCAUCAAGCUGCAAUUUCCGUGUUUCAGUGAUCCACUCAUCCAACACAUCUUCCAUGUCGUAGGAUGCGUCUCUGAGCUGAUCCAGCCAAAAAGUAACAGCGUUGUCCUGCUUCAUUUGCCUCUGCUCUGCAUCUUCCAGCACAGCUUGAAUGGCUUGAAGAUUGGUGGUAAGCUUUCCCACUUCAUGUUCGACACCCGUGACAAGCCUCCACUUUUCUUGAGCAAUGGAAUUCAGCUGGUCCAAGAGAGAGGAAACGAGCGCAUGAGCCAUUCUGAUAUUAGAUCAAAUGGUAAAUGCUGCAAUUGCUUUUCUUGAUAAAAUGCUCAGAGGAAAGUAGGUUUUAUGUAUUCUGUGAGAAUGUUCAUUCAAGCAUGUUUGCAUUCUUCUUAUACCAUAUGAGAUAUUUAAUUUUUACCCUCAAUGUGAACGUUCUUUCGUGCUGCAAAUUAAAGGAGUCGGCGUCAAUAUUUGUACAGCGUCCGCCCUGUUUCUCUGAUUCAUAAUAAUUCAUUGUUAAUUCUGCAGAGUACACAGCGUCAGCACUUGUAAAAUUUCUUACAUUUGUAUUUAGUUACUUGCCGCUCUUAAGAUAAUUAGUAACAAAAUAUUUGUAAACUGCAACAAAAAGCUUUGUGCAAUCUAUCUAUGAAUCUUGUGAGUUCACAUAUAAUACAGUCGAUUUAAAAUAGUCAUAAUUUUUUUUAUUAUAAAUAUUAGUAUAUUUGUAAUGGUAUAAUAUAUAUCGAUGAAACUAUAUAGAGUAAUUUCGCCUAAUUGUAUAAAUUCAUUACGAAUAUCAUCACAAAUUUGUAUUUGGUCGGGACCGUGCGAGUGAAAUUUUUGAUAAAAUUUCCCUAUGAAUCUGACAAUUUAUUUAUUAUAUGUUUCAAUUUUAGUCCACAGUCAAUAUAUAACUUUAUGCCAAAGCCAUUUGGUCAUUUGAAAAAGUAUGUGAUUCCGUUUUAGUCUAUUAUGUCACGACAAAAAGAGAAUUGGAAAAGAGAAAAAUAAGACAAAAGUUGGAAAAAUCAUGCAGCCGACCCUUUUUUCUAUCUGAUUGCGCAAUAUUAGGUAGGCGAAUGCGACUUCAUCGAUAUCAGACAGCAGUGGUUCUGUCAUUAAUUUUUUUCUUUUAUUUAAUUAAGAAAAGGAAGAAAAGAUAGCACAUGUUAUGAUUAUUGUGAAUUUUCCAUCCCUUAUAUAAAUUCUCAAAUUUAUUUAAAUUGUGAGUCAUAGAAGUAUAUUACCUAAACUAUUUUAUCAGGCUAUGUUCGGAUACUAGGAUUAAGUAUGGAAUUGGACUAAUUUUAUGAUUAUAUAUUUAUAUCAUAUUUGGUAAGCUUAAUUGAAUUGGACUAAGGGCCAGUUUGGUAAUGCUGCAGCUUUUAAAAUAAUUGCUGUUAGCUGUGCUGUAGAAAUAAUCAACUGUGAAGAGAAUCAGUUAAGUGUUUGGUAAAUUUUAUUUUCAAAAGUACUGUGAAUUUUGAAAGCAGUUAUGGGUGUUUGGUAAAUUUUAUUGUUAAACUGCUGUAAGAAAAUAAAUGACUAAAAUGUACAUAAUGUAGGAUGAAAAAAUAUUAUAAUAAAAAUUGCAUAGCCAUGGAAUCAUUUAUAAUAAAAAAAUUCAAAUAAGACAAACAAUGAAUAUUAUAAUAAAAAUUGCAUAGGCAUAGAAUUGUUUAUAUAUAAACAAACCCAAAUAAGACAAACAACAAAUAUUAUAAUAAAAAUUACAUUGAAUAUGCAUGAAAAGGGUGAUGAAUCACUUACUGUUAUUGAAUAUGGUGAUGGAACACGUAAUGGAUCUUGCUUUGUUGCACUAGAGAAGUUUUGAUAGAACAAAAAAUAUGAAGAAAUAGGGUAAACGAAAGGUGUACGUUAAUUAUAAUAAAAAAUUAUUAAAAUAUUGAUUUUAUUUUCAAUUUAAAUAAGGAUAAUUUCGGGUUUAAGUAAUAAUUGUAAGGAUAUUUAUGGUAUAUUACCUAAACUAUUUUAUCAGGCCAUGUUCGGAUACUAGGAUUAAGUAUGGAAUUGGACUAAUUUUGUGAUUAUAUUUUAUAUCAAAUUUGGUAAGCUUAAUUGAAUUGGACUAAGGGACUAAAUUUAAGUUUAAUCCUAAAAUUAUGGGAUUAAUAAUCCUAAUGUACACAUUCCUUUAGUUGGGACUUGGGAUAAGAUUAAAGAAAAAAAGUUAUCCAUUUAUGAGACUUUAAUUUAUGUCAUUAUUUUUUAUUUAUACUUAAUAUUAAUUAAUUAAUUAAUUUACUCUUUAAUUUAUGUCAUUAUUUUUUAUUAAUACUUAAUAUUAAUUAAUUAUUUUUUUUAAUUUAUGAUUUAUUUAAAAUUUAUUUUUAUUUAUUAUCUAUCAUCUGAUUAAAUUAGAACUUUACUUCUACUAACUCUUGAGAUUAAUUUUUCAUUACUUGCGUAUUUGAUAAUUUGCCAAUAAAAUUAACCAUUUAAUAAUUUCUUGCAUUAUUGAUUGUAUUAAAUUUAAUAAUCACUAAUAUAAUAUUAAAAAUCAUCAUGAAAAUUAAUAAUACCAUCAAUUAAUUGAUUUAUAUACUUUUUUAAAUAUUUGAUAAGAAUUUGAUAAAAAUUAAUUAAGUAUUUAAUUUUUUUUUCAUUUUUUUUAAUUUAUUUUAUCAUGAAUACCCAGUAUCUUACAAUAUAAUUAAUUUUCUCAUUCAGACUACUAGCAUCAGCUCUUGUAAAAUUUCUUACAUUAUAAGCAACAAAAUAGUUACAAACUACAACAAAAGGCUUAGAUCAAUCCACCGAUGAACCUUCUGAAGUUAUAUAUAAUAUAUUAAUUGUUGAUCUAGUAUAAUCUUAGUGGAUAGAUUUUUUUAAUUAUAAAUAUCAAUAAAUUUUUUUAUCGUUUAAUAGAUAUUGAUGAAAUUAUAUAGAGUAAUUUUGCCCAAUCAAAUUAAUCCAUUAUGAAUUUCAGCACAAAUUUGCAUGUGGUCUGGACCGUGCAAGUGAAAUUUAUUUAGUAUAUUUUUCAAUUUGGCCGUCAACAUAUUUUUGUCAGGUAGGCAAAAGCAAAAGCCAUUAUCUCAUUAAUUCAUUUGGUCAUUUGAGAAUGUAACUCUAUUAUGCCAUGACAAACUCCAAAGAUCUAAUUUAGAGAGCGACUCAAAUAAUGUUAAUUAGUAAUUUAUUACAUCUGCGAUUAGCUUGAUACUUUGUUUAAAAAAAAAAGAAUAAAAUUAGUUUCAUAAUGAUUUUAAUUACAAUAAAUAUCAUGCUGUGGUCUAUGACUUAUAUGAUAUUACAAAGAAAAUAUGUGAAAGAUAACUAAGUAAUACAUCCAUUACGAAUUUCAUUACAAAUGAAAUUUAUUUAUUAUAUUUUCCAAUUUAACCUUAACGUAUGGACCAUUUUUUGUCUAUAUGGAUUAUGGCCAACAACUUUUUUUAUCAGGUAGGCAAGAGUAAAAGCCACUGUCUCAAUAAUUCAUUUGGUCAUUUGAAAAAGUUGUGCCUCUGUUUUAGUCCACAGUCAAAGAAAAUAUGCGAAGAAAAUAUGUCCCAUUGUGAUUUUAAUAAAUAUCAUACUAUGGACUUACCUCGUAUUACAAAGAAAAUAUGCGAAAGGAAUAAAGCUUUUCCACAAUUAUUUAUAAAAUUGCUUUUGGAGAACGGUUAUGAAAUUAUAUCAAAUUACUAAUUAUUUAGUUAACCUCUCAAGAAGUCUAUUUGGUUGACUUCUCGAGUUUAAAAUUCGAAUGUCAAAAAAGAUAAAAGGUUAAAAAAAUAUUUUAAAUAUUAUCCACCCUUUUACUAUUUUAAUAUACAAAAAGAAGAAUUACUUAUUUUUAACAAUGGCAACCGGGGGGCAUAAUAUAUCUGAUGGAUUUUUCUAAGGAACAAAACUUAUUAUAUCUCCUAUCAAAAGUGUCAUUUUUUGUUAGGAAAAGGACAUCUAUAUCCCCAAUUUUUGGAGAAAUGGCUACCAACGCUCCCAAAUUUUCAAAAAGAGACACUAAAACUCAUUUUUUACUACAAUACACUUUACCUUUAUUAUCCCAAAAAUUAACUUUAAUUUUUUAUAAUAAAUAGAAAUAUAAUAUUAAAAUAAAUGUAUUAAAAUUUAAAUUAUUAUGAAAAAUAAUAAUUUUAAUAUUAUUAGUAUGUGAGACUUUUUUAAUUGUAAAAUGUAUUUAAUGCAAAUAUUUAUUUAAAAUCUCUAGAAUAAAUACAAAUAUAUUAUUAAAAUAAAUAUAAUAAUUUACAUAGUUAAAUUUAUUUUAAUAUUAAAUAUUUUAAUAUUAUUAAUCUACUACAUAGAUUACAUUAUUUAUAUAAUAUUUGUGUUAACUAAAAAUUUGCAAGUUAAAUUUUUGGGGAUACUAAAGGUAAAGAGUAUUAUGGUCAAAAGAGAGUCUUGAUGUCCUUUUUAGAAAACUUGGGGUGUUGGUGACUAUUUCUCCAAACCAUGGAGAUAUAGAUAUCCUUUUCUCUUUUUUAUUUUAAACAAGUGGUGACUAAAGAUUAAACUGUCAUAGAUUCACAAGAUAUUCACCACAAAAUUUGUAGGAAAUUUCUUCUUCCCUAAGCGGAAAAUACAAAACAAAAACAUAAUUGGCAAUUUCACUAGCAAAACUAAUAUUUUGUUCCAUAUCCAGGGCCGGAGCUCAAGGUAAAUCUUCAUGACGCCCAAAUUCAAAUUUCAAGUGUUAGCUGGGGAUUAAUUUUAGACAAUUAUUUUAUUUAUAGCUAGUAUGUAGUUGUUAGGUGUUUCAAAAUUUGAGAAUUUAGUGAUUCUGUGAGAAUGUUCAUUCAAGCAUGUUUGCAUUCUUCUUAUACGUACCAUAGGAGAUAUUUAAUUUUUGGAAACAGAUCCGGUGCUCAGCUGAGCUUGUGCUGAGCACCGGAUCCUGGUCCUUAGUUUUUACCCUUGAGUCAAUGUCAAUGAGAAUACUUUUAUGCUGCAAAUUAAAGGAAUCCCCGCAGGAGUCACCGUGUGGGGCAUUCAGACUACUCAGCAUCAGCACUUGUAAAAUUUCUUAUAUUAUAAGUAACAAAAUAUUUGUAAACUACGACAAAAAGGUUGGAGCAAUCUACUGAUGAACCUUCUGAAGUUAUCUGUAAUAGACUAAUUUGAUCUACAAUAAUCUUAGUGUUGGAACAAUUUCAAAAUAAAUGAUGUUUUAUUAUAAAGACAUGCCUAAUUAAUUUUGCCAUAGAAGAGGUAUCUUUUGAUAUUUAAUAAAUAUCAUACUAUGGUCUACGACUUACCCAUAUUACAAAGAAAAUAUGUGAAAGAUAAUUAAGGAAUAAAGUUUUCAACAAUGAUUUAUAAAAUUGCUUUUGAUAAAACUGUUCUGAUGAAAUGAAAUUAUGUGAAAUUACUACGAAUUUAAUUAGCCUCUCAAAAAGGUUUAUUCAUUGCUUGACUUCUCAAGUUUAAAAUUCGAAUGUCAAAAUAGAUAAAAAGUAAAAAAAAUUAUUUUGAGUUUUAUCCACCCGUUUACCAUUUUAAUAUAUAAAACUCCCCAAACGGGUCUUAAAUUGUCAUAUGUUCGCAAGAUAUUCAGCACAACAGUUGAGGGAAAUUUCUUCAUCCUUGAGCGGAAAAUACAAAGAAAAACAUAGUUCGCAAUUUUAGUAGCAAAACUAAUAUUUUGUUCCAUAUGGGGUAAAUCUUCCGAAGGCCCAACUUCAAACUUAAAAUGUUAGUUGGGGAUUAAUUUUAGGGGGAAACCUCAGGUGCAACUGUGGUACCGUGCCACAGUUGCAUCUAGCCGUUGGAUGUGAGUAGACCCCACCAAUCCAAGUGCAUCCAACGGCUAGAUGCAACUGUGGCACGGUGCCACAGUUGCACCGUAGGCUGAUCCUGAUUUUAGACUGUUUUUCUAUUUAUAGUUAUUAUGUAGUCGUUAGGAAUUUCGAAAUUUGAGAAUUUUGCUUGUAGCUACAGGCUGCAGCGAUUUUGAUUUGGCGGCUUUGAUUCAUAAUUGAAGUUACUGUUGCAAGUAAAACUAAAAAAUAAUUAACAAAAUAAAAAUCAAGGACUAAGGCCCAAGUUUUAUCAAAAUUUUAAUAAAAAGCUAUUUGUCAUUUUGUCAUAAUGAAAAAAUAAAUAACAAAACAAAAAUAAAAAAUGGAGUUGAUUUUAUUUUACAAAAUAUAAAUUAAAUUUCCAUUAUAUGUAUAAACUAUAAAGUUUAUAUAUCAAGUGCUUAGGGAUCAAAUCGGUCUUUUUAUACUUAAUUUUUAAUAUUUCAUUUCGAAACCCCAAAAUUUUUCAAAGCUUGUAGGGUCAUGAUCCCCGCUAGGAGUCGGCAAAUUUGUGUUCAGAUCAACUUGUUUGAGUUUCAGGUUGAUUAAGUUAGAAUAUUCAGAUUGGAUUGAAUUAGAUCAAAAAUUCAAGUUUAAUUCGGAUCGCAUCAUGUUAUAAUUAUAUGGGGGUUAGGUUGAGUUUGGGUUAAAAUCAAAUUCGGUCAGCUAGGAUGGAUUCAUAAUAUUGGGAUUAGGGGUAUUUUUGAGCCUAUUUUUUUUUUUUUUUGAGUUUUUUUUUUCAAUUAUUUUAGUUCUUUGUCAACAAAAAAUAAAAACUACUACUAUGAAAUCAAAUGAAUAAAAAUUAAAAUAAACUAUUACUAUUGAAUUGGAUCGGAUCCUCAUCUCUUCACCUUCUUAUACAUUAAGGUAACUUUGAGCCAUCUAUAGUGUAAUUAGUUAUCUUUAUACAUAUUGUAGCCUUUUGAAAAGACAGUAUAAGAAAUACUGCCUUAUUAUACAUUAAUAUUGUUCCCAAUCUCUUUUACCUUCCACAUAUCACUAUCUAAAAUUCUAAAUCAUGAUGCCAUCAGUACAUUUCCACAUAUUGCCAAGAAGGAUGCUGCCUCAUACAACAGCCGUGAAGAAUUCUCCAUGCAAGACCGUCAUCAACUGUCCAUUGAACAUGCAAAUCAUGUUCAAAGCCGUGAGCAAAUUGGAAUGCCACAGUCAAACACAUCGGGAGAACUUUCGGCUCCCACGCGUGAUGUGUCCCACAUUCAAACUCAGAUUAUGGCAUCCCACGUGAAGCAUUCAAAAGAGUCGGCUAUCCACAUGCAUGCAAGUUCAAAUUCAAACAAAAGUGCAGCCCGUGAUGGUUGUAGUCAAAGCACACAAACACUUUGGGCAUGCACAAUUGAUUUGGCUUCCAUAAAGCAGAAGCACGCUAAAUCUUGGGGCCAAAGAAAAUCUUACCCUUGAAAAUUCAAAUCCAAAGUCAAAGGCACAUUCAAAUCACCCACAGUCAAAGGCACACUCAAACCAAAAUGUGCAAACAAUUCUCUAAUUUCUUUCACCCCAUGUGCAAACUUUUUCCCCAACACACAUCCAGCUUAUUCCAACUUCAAAACAGUCGGCCCCACUUGUCCAAAAUUUCCAAACACCUUCACUUAUUCAUAAUCCUACACAACCGAAUCCAACAAAUUCCCAAUAUCCAACUUCUACCCCACUACCAACAAACAGCCAACAUCCAAAUUCGGCCCCACUUAUUCUAAAUCCAUCCCUUGCUAAACAAAUCCGAAUAAACACGUCAUACUCUUUUAAUCCCCAACCAAUAACCAGCCCACCAAUUUAACCCCAUCCUUUUAACCAACUUCCCCAAUAAUUGUCAGGCCAACCUUAUAAACCUCACAUAUGGGCUUAAUGCCCCCACCUUAAAUCAGGGCACACAAAUAAACCCCGGCCCAUUCCUUAAUACCUCCCAUAAACUUCAUGUGGCCCACUCUACCAAUCCUCCCAUAUCAAAACCCUCAUAUGCUGAUAUUCCUAAAUCUUUUUUGGAUGCUAUUCUAGACUCAGUUGCCCCUGAAAUCCUGAUUAAGCCAGUUACUCUUUAACAAGGAGAGCCAACAGUUUAAUUUUCAUAAGCAGAAGAGCAGUUUUUCAAACUCUCACUUGUAGGUAAAUUUUCUUUUGGCCGACCAAAAAUGCUAGUAUUCGCCAAUUCUUUAAAUCUUUGGGUUUGAAAGGAAAUGUUCAAGUAUUUUUACUGGAUAUGAGGCAUGUACUGCUUAAUCUCGAGCUUGAGGAGGAUUAUUCUCGGAUUUGGGUAAGACAAACAUGGUAUGUUAGUGGUCGCGUAUUUUUAGAUGGACCACUAAUUUUCGGUGUACCGAGGAGUCGCCGAUUGUUCCAUUUUGGAUAUCUUUACCUUUUUUUGCUAGUACACUAUAUUCAAUGCAAACAGGCUUUAUGCUCUAUUACUGGUGCUAUCGAAAAACCAUUGAGAGUAGAUCAUGCCAUUGCUGUCGUCAUCAGACCAUCAGUUGCCCGAGUAUUGAUUGAAUUUGAUGUCUCCAAACCUUCAAUUCCUCGGAUUUGGAUUGGCACAUAUAAGUCUGGUUUUUGGUAGGAGGUUAUCUUUGAGCAGUUUCCUGCUUACUGUACUACAUGCAAGCACUUUGGCCAUUUAGAUGGAGAAUGUUUUAUUGCAAAUCCUGCUCUCUGGAAAACCCAACAGCCAAAUCAUGAGAUUCAGACCACAACAGAUAGUGAUCCAACUUCUAUAAAGGAGCGAGAGAAUCCUAGCGCAAUUUCACCACUUUCUGUCGAGACGCGGGGGCCUCAGAAUGAUGUUGCUGUGAGGGAUCCAACCAUUUUAUAUGGCAAUGCAGCUAGAUGAAUUGAGGACAUCACUCAUUCUAGUUCCGAUGUUCAGAGAGUAUCUGUUGGCUCCCGAUUUUACCAAUUUGUGAUGGAUAGCAUUAGUAAUAAUGUAAUAUGGAGGUGGGCUUCAACGCCUACUCUAUAGGUAUUCCAUCUCAGUCCGACGAGGAAAUUACAACCAAUGGUAAUUUUCAACACGUGGUUAGAUUUCAUUAAUUAGAUUCAGAUGCUUGUUCUGAUGAGGCUGUCGGAGAAGACAACCAUUUUGUGACAGAUAAUGAGGAAGCUAAAUCUUAUUCAAUUAUUGACAUGGGGAUUAGUAGUUUGGAUGGGCAUAGAAUUUCUACUCCUUAUGGUUUUGCUAAUACUCAUUUCGAGGAAGCGACGUAAGAUCAUGAAGCGGGACAAUUCUCGCUUCUAUUCACUUAGAUGAUUAAUUCCAUAAGAGUGAAGCCCUAGAUAAGUUCAAGGAAUGGAUAGCUCUAAUGGAGAAUCAAAUAGGGAGGAAAGUGAAAAGACUCAGAACUGAUAAUGGGCUAGAAUACUGUAGUAAUGAAUUUGAUGAGUUCUGUAAAAGGCUAGGCAUUGCAAGACACAAGACAGUAAGGCAUACACCUCAGCAAAAUGGACUUGCUGAAAGGAUGAAUAGGACCUUGAUUGAAAAGGUCAUAUGCAUGCUGUUGAGCUCAAAUCUCUCCAAACAUUUUUGGGCUGAAGCUGCUGUUACAGCUACAUAUCUCAUUAACAGAAGUCCAUCAUCAGCUCUGGAGUUCAAAACACCUCAGGAAGUCUGGUCUGGGAAGCCACCUGAUCUCAGCAACCUGAAAGUCUUUGGUUGCCCUGUCUGUGCACACAUUAAACAAGGCAAGCUGGAACCAAGGGCUGUGAAAGGUUAUUUCAUAGGGUACCCUGAGGGCAUUAAAGGGUACAAAAUUUGGAGCUUAAAUGGGAAACCCACCAGAACCUUUAUCAGCAGGGAUGUUGUGUUUGAUGAGGAAGCCCUGACACAGUCAAGGGUUGAGACUCAAAUAACCAAUACAAGCUCUGAAGAAAAGGGAGUUGUUGAGCUGGAGGUGGAGUCACCAAAAGAAGCAAAACAACAUCCAAAGCAAACACAUUCUGAACUGGAAGGAUAUCAACUGGUCCAAGGAUAAAAGAAAGUGGGUGGCUGCCAUGGAAGAAGAAAUGGCCUCACUUAGAAAGAAUAAGACCUGGAGUUUAGUAAAGAAACCAGCUAACCAAAAGCUAGUAGGCUGUAAAUGGAUAUAUAAAAUAAAGGAAGGAGUCUCAGAAUCUGAACCAGCCAGGUAUAAGGCCAGACUUGUAGCAAAGGGGUUCACCCAAAGAGAGGGAGUGGACUUUAAUGAAGUGUUCUCCCCUGUGGUCAAACACAGCUCAAUAAGAGUCUUAUUGUCUAUUGCAGCAUACAAUGACUUGGAGUUGGAUCAAAUGGACGUGAAGACUGCUUUCCUACAUGGAGAUCUCAGUGAGAGGAUACUGAUGGAACAGCCAGAGGGAUUUGUUGAAGCUGAAUCAGAAGAUAUGGCUUGCUUGCUCAAUAAAAGCCUAUAUGGAUUAAAGCAGUCACCUAGGCAAUGGUAUUUGAAAUUCGAUGAGUUUAUGAUCACACAUGGCUACAGCAGAAGUAAAUAUGACAGUUGUGUAUAUUCUAAGGCUCUAACCUCUGGAAAUUUCAUUUACCUUUUACUCUAUGUAGAUGACAUGCUCCUGGCAUGUAAACGAAGAGAAGAGCUGGAGUGGCUUAAAGGUGAACUAAGCUCAGAGUUCGAAAUGAAGGACCUAGGUCCAGCCACCAAAAUUUUAGGAAUGCACAUAAUCAGAAAUAGAGUUUCUAAAACUCUUUUCUUGUCUCAGACAGGAUAUGUGGAGAAGGUUCUUAGUAGAUUUGGAAUGAAUGAAUCCAAACCAGUCUUAACUCCUUUAGGAGCUCAGUUCAGACUCUCUAAACAGGAAGAGCCAGAAGAAAAUGCAGAGGUUGAACACAUGAAGAAUAUACCAUACACUAGUGUGGUUGGUUGUAUUAUGUAUGCCAUGGUGUGCACCAGACCUGAUUUGGCCUAUGGAAUUGGAGUGCUGAGCAGAUUCAUGUCAAAUCCUGGAAAACAUCAUUGGCAUGCAGCUAAGUGGAUGUUGAGGUAUUUAAAGGGUACAGCUGGUCUGGGUAUAGUAUAUGGAAGGGUUGACAAAAGCUCUAGUCAAAUUCAAGGUUAUGUUGAUUAAGACUUUGCUGGCGAUCUGGAUAAAAGGAGGUCAAUCACUGGUUAUGUCUACACUUUGUGUGGUGGAGCAGUCAGCUGGAAGGCUUCUUUACAGUCAGUAGUUGCUUUGUCAACUACUGAGGCAGAGUANNNNNNNNNNNNNNNNNNNNNNNNNNNNNNNNNNNNNNNNNNNNNNNNNNNNNNNNNNNNNNNNNNNNNNNNNNNNNNNNNNNNNNNNNNNNNNNNNNNNNNNNNNNNNNNNNNNNNNNNNNNNNNNNNNNNNNNNNNNNNNNNNNNNNNNNNNNNNNNNNNNNNNNNNNNNNNNNNNNNNNNNNNNNNNNNNNNNNNNNNNNNNNNNNNNNNNNNNNNNNNNNNNNNNNNNNNNNNNNNNNNNNNNNNNNNNNNNNNNNNNNNNNNNNNNNNNNNNNNNNNNNNNNNNNNNNNNNNNNNNNNNNNNNNNNNNNNNNNNNNNNNNNNNNNNNNNNNNNNNNNNNNNNNNNNNNNNNNNNNNNNNNNNNNNNNNNNNNNNNNNNNNNNNNNNNNNNNNNNNNNNNNNNNNNNNNNNNNNNNNNNNNNNNNNNNNNNNNNNNNNNNNNNNNNNNNNNNNNNNNNNNNNNNNNNNNNNNNNNNNNNNNNNNNNNNNNNNNNNNNNNNNNNNNNNNNNNNNNNNNNNNNNNNNNNNNNNNNNNNNNNNNNNNNNNNNNNNNNNNNNNNNNNNNNNNNNNNNNNNNNNNNNNNNNNNNNNNNNNNNNNNNNNNNNNNNNNNNNNNNNNNNNNNNNNNNNNNNNNNNNNNNNNNNNNNNNNNNNNNNNNNNNNNNNNNNNNNNNNNNNNNNNNNNNNNNNNNNNNNNNNNNNNNNNNNNNNNNNNNNNNNAUGAGGAAGCCCUGACACAGUCAAGGGUUGAGACUGAAAUAACCAAUACAAGCUCUGAAGAAAAGGGAGUUGUUGAGCUGGAGGUGGAGUCACCAAAAGAAGCAAAACAACAUCCAAAGCAAACACAUUCUGAACUUGAAGGAUAUCAACUGGCAAGGGAUAGAGUAAGAAGAACCAUUAAAAUGCCUGAAAGAUAUGGAGUUGCAGAUCUUAUAUCAUAUGCUUUGGCUGUGGCUGAAGCUGAAACAAGUGAGGAACCAGCAACCUACAAGCAAGCUAUGAGAUCCAAGGAUAAAAGAAAGUGGGUGGCUGCCAUGGAAGAAGAAAUGGCCUCACUUAGAAAGAAUAAGACCUGGAGUUUAGUAAAGAAACCAGCUAACCAAAAGCUAGUAGGCUGUAAAUGGAUAUAUAAAAUAAAGGAAGGAGUCUCAGAAUCUGAACCAGCCAGGUAUAAGGCCAGACUUGUAGCAAAGGGGUUCACCCAAAGAGAGGGAGUGGAUUUUAAUGAAGUGUUCUCCCCUGUGGUCAAACACAGCUCAAUAAGAGUCUUAUUGUCUAUUGCAGCAUACAAUGACUUGGAGUUGGAUCAAAUGGACGUGAAGACUGCUUUCCUACAUGGAGAUCUCAGUGAGAGGAUACUGAUGGAACAGCCAGAGGGAUUUGUUGAAGCUGAAUCAGAAGAUAUGGCUUGCUUGCUCAAUAAAAGCCUAUAUGGAUUAAAGCAGUCACCUAGGCAAUGGUAUUUGAAAUUCGAUGAGUUUAUGAUCACACAUGGCUACAGCAGAAGUAAAUAUGACAGUUGUGUAUAUUCUAAGGCUCUAACCUCUGGAAAUUUCAUUUACCUUUUACUCUAUGUAGAUGACAUGCUCCUGGCAUGUAAACGAAGAGAAGAGCUGGAGUGGCUUAAAGGUGAACUAAGCUCAGAGUUCGAAAUGAAGGACCUAGGUCCAGCCACCAAAAUUUUAGGAAUGCACAUAAUCAGAAAUAGAGUUUCUAAAACUCUUUUCUUGUCUCAGACAGGAUAUGUGGAGAAGGUUCUUAGUAGAUUUGGAAUGAAUGAAUCCAAACCAGUCUUAACUCCUUUAGGAGCUCAGUUCAGACUCUCUAAACAGGAAGAGCCAGAAGAAAAUGCAGAGGUUGAACACAUGAAGAAUAUACCAUACACUAGUGUGGUUGGUUGUAUUAUGUAUGCCAUGGUGUGCACCAGACCUGAUUUGGCCUAUGGAAUUGGAGUGCUGAGCAGAUUCAUGUCAAAUCCUGGAAAACAUCAUUGGCAUGCAGCUAAGUGGAUGUUGAGGUAUUUAAAGGGUACAGCUGGUCUGGGUAUAGUAUAUGGAAGGGUUGACAAAAGCUCUAGUCAAAUUCAAGGUUAUGUUGAUUAAGACUUUGCUGGCGAUCUGGAUAAAAGGAGGUCAAUCACUGGUUAUGUCUACACUUUGUGUGGUGGAGCAGUCAGCUGGAAGGCUUCUUUACAGUCAGUAGUUGCUUUGUCAACUACUGAGGCAGAGUACAUAGCACUCUCAGAAGCAGUGAAAGAAGCAAUAUGGUUAAAAAGGUUAGUAGCAGAGUUAGGCCUGGAGCAAGGAUCAGUCAAUAUCAACUGUGACAGCUCUAGUGCCAACACUUCAUCAGAGAUGAGAUUGCUCAAGAAGUUGUAAAUGUAAUUAAGAUUGCAUCAGAGUGUAACCCUGCAGACAUGCUUACGAAGACUCUGCCAUCAGUCAAGUUAAAAGCUGCUUUGAAAUCGAUUGGCAUGGUUAGUCAGUAAAUCAAGUUAUGGUAGGUUGAUUCAGUGACUGAAGGAAGCUUUAACAGAAUAAAACUAGGUGGAGAUUUGUGAAGCCAGGAAGUAGUUAUAUUCUGUUAAAACAUUAAUGAGGUGGCAUGCUGAGCUGGCAUGGAAUCUUUUGGCUGUUAAAUCUAUUAGUUGAAUAGAACAACAGUUGGCUUUUUCUCUCGUGACUAAGGGGUUAUAAAAGAGCAGCAAAAGUAUUCUUGAAGAGGAGAGUGUGUGUGAGAGAUUCUUGGAGUGAGAUAUAGAGCUUAUAUGAAGAGUUAAUAUCUCUGUAAUCUCAUCAUCAGUUGUAAUCCAUUUUCAUUCUAAAUAAAGCUUAGAGCAGUACUGUUUCAACCGUGGAUGUAGGCUUCUUGUGGCCGAACCACGUUACAUCUUCUUGCCAUUUUCUUUUAUGUUCUUGGUGAUUGCAGUUGCUUAGAUUGAUCUUUAGUUUUGUUUACAUUUGAUUGCUUGGUUUGAUUCUCUCAAAGAAGCUUGAAACAUUGGGCCAGUUCUUAACACUCUGUGGUUCAAUCAUUUACUUCUCUGUUCUUGUUUAUUCACAACAAGAUAUCAAUAGAAGAAGAUGGAAAUGAAAUUCUAUAAAAUAAAGCAAGUGAAUUACCAGCAGAACAUUUUAGCAAUCCUUUCGCUAAACUUUUCAUUUUCAUAGUCUUGCUCUCCUGCCUGCAUCAUUAAAACCAAAUUAGCUUGGACCUGUGAAUUGCUAGUGUAGUUAUGACAUUUCCUCCAAUCCCUGGUGAACAUAAUUAAACUCGUAUGAAAAAAAACAAAGUGGGCUAAUGUAGUAAAAACAAUUACACAAUUACUUUAAAAUUGAUAAUUUAGUUUUCGACAUUAUUGCAAAUGUAUCAAGGAGAUUUUGUCACUCAGGAAGUUACACAUAACAAAUUUUCGUACAUUAAAAAAUAAAUUACAUUGGGAUUUUCUAUGAUGUUGUAUCAAAUUUUACAAAAGAGCACAUAUUUUUUAAAAGAAAAGAUAGAAAUUUCAACAUACUACACUUGUUUUUUUUUUAAUUAUUUAAUCUUUAGAAAACAAGUUUAACAGAUUUGAUAACUAGGAAGUUUUACAUAUUUAUACCAUGAUUGAUUCUAUAUAGAAUUUUAAUUAAAAAUAUAAUUAUUUUUAUUAAUUUCAUUGCAAGCAACAACAAAGUAAAUCAGAGGAGGAGGAGAAAUUACCAGCGAGUGAUAUCUUACGGCGACCACUUGAUGCGGGGAAGGUGGGAUAUCUUAUACCAGUCUUCUCCUUCCCCCUGUCUAUAACGGUUUUCCAGAAGGGGACAUUCGCUAAUUCUCAAUUCCUGCAGCAUCGUCGUCCGAAGAAGGUAAUCCGGCAGCACCUUUAAUUUGGGGCAAUACCCAAUUCGCAAGGAAGAAAGACGUGGUAUGUCUAUUGUCCUGCGAUCUUCUAGAAUGGGCAGUUCUUCCAAUUUUCACAAGAAUAAAGACUCAGUUCCUACAGUGCCGUCGUUUGAAGAAGGUAAUCCGGCAGCCCCUUUAAUUUGUUGCAAGAACCAACUUUUAAGGAAGAAAGACGGGGCAUGAUGGAGAUGUUUUCCUUCCUCGUAACCCUGUAAUUCCACUCUUCCAGUUCUUUCAUUGCGUCAAUUUCGAGUGAUUUCAAUUUGGGGAAGGCAAUAACUGAUGGUGACAAUGAAGAUGAAGCUGGGUCAUCCUCAGUGCCAUUUCAAAUUCGCAAGGAAGAAAGACGUGGUAUGAUGGAGAUGUUUUCCUUCCUCGUAAUCCUGUAAUUCCCCUCUUCCAAUUCCUUAAUUUCGAGUGAUUUCACUUUGGGGAAGGCAGUAACUGAUGAUGAUGAUGAAGACGAAGAUGGGUCAUCCUCACUUUCUUCUAUUUCCAAGAACUCAUUACCCACUCUUUUUACACUUUUCAAGUGGCAUAGUUCGAGCUUUUCCAGAGGCAAUUUUCCCAAUGGAGGCAACUGCUCACAAUUCUCGCAGAAGACAAGUUUUAAAUCGCUUAGAUUGGUUAGUGAAGUCAACCAUUUGGGCAAAAUGUUGCCUCCGUUGAAUAGAAUCCAUAAUUUCUCUACAUUCAAUGGCGGUUGUAAGGCUUCAAGAAGUUGUUCAUCUUUCUCAUUCUUCCUCCUCCUCUCUUCAUAUUCCCCAUCUACAACUUUACCUCCUUUUUCUUCUUUAUAUCCCCCAUCCUCAUCUUCAUCUUCCCCACCUUCAUCUUCAUUCUCUUCUUCAUCUUCCCAAUCUUCAUCUUCCCUAUCUACAACUUCAAACCAAAGAUACAAAUGAAGGAGGUUUUCCAUAUUUUUGAGUUCUAAUCUCUUAGCCUCAUCUAAAUGUGACACAUUACUCAGCCCUUCUAUUCCACAUUUCCGAAUGAGUUGAAAAUUUUUCAGACAUUCAAGCCUACACGUACUGCCACCAUCAACACCUCCACCCACAGCAAACUUGUCUAAUGUUCGAAGACUGGUUAAUUUGGAAAUCCCUAUUGGCAUGUACUUCAACGAACAAGUAAGACCAUUUAGCAAACUCCUCAUGUUCUUUAACUUCCCAAUCCCUGUAGGCAAUUCUCUUAGAUUUCGGCACCCCCUAAUAUCUAGCUUUUGUAAAUUAUAUAAUUCACACAAAGUCUUAGGCAGUCUCUCUAUGUGUAAUUCAGACAAAUUAAGAUAUUUUAAAUGCAUCAAUUUUCCGACAUUUUCUGGAAUUUCUCUAAUCAAAUUUGGGUCAGGACAAAAAAGCAAGAACGAUUGUCUUAUAACUAAUGCUCUUAAACACGCCAAUUUACUAAAUUAACUCAGGAAGGAUGCUACUAUCAAGAGACGAAUUGGGAGGACUUUCAUCAUCAAUUAGGAGGGUACGCAAUCUAUUAAGUCCAUGAAUGGACAUAGGAAAUGAAGCGCCUCCUUUAAACUUUAACCCUAAGUGACGGACUUUCCCACCAAAAGCGUUUAUGACUGAUUCUUUGGUACUAUUAAUUUCUAGCCACAAACAUUCUUUGCUACUUACAAAUUGAGCAAAAUCAUGUACUAUGUCAUGCAUCUUGCAACUCAUAAUAUCAUCAUCAUCAUUUUUCUCAAACUCUUGAAAGAAAGAGCGUGCUGCUAAAAUGUUGAAACACUCUUCCCCAGUCAUCUCCUUCUCUUCAUAUUCUUCUGCAUUAAGGUAACCUUGAGCCAUCCAUAGUGAAAUUAGCUCUUCUUUAUACAUAUUGUAGUCUUUCGGAAAGACAGCACAAUAUGAAAAAAAUCGUUUUACCAUAGAAUUGGACGACAAAUCAUUAUAACUCAACAAUAAAGGAGUCAAAAGACCUUUCCCAAUCUCUUCUGCCUUCCACAUUUCACUAUCUAAAAUUCUUUGCCAGUCUUUUAUUGUACUUUUAGAGCGCAAGAGAUUCCCUAUUACCUUUGCAGCAAUAGGCAGGCCUUUGCACUUGCGUGCAAUUUUUUGCCCGAUUGGUUCUAAUCUUUCACAAUCCUCGAAGGAGCAACCGAAAAAUGCCAACCGCUUGAACAACGACCAGCAUUCCUCUUCAGUCAAUUGCUCAAUGAAAAUAAUAUUUGUUGAUCCCAUCAUACGUGCAACCAACUCAUUACGUGUAGUAACCAAAAUUUUACUUCCGUGGAGACCAUGAUUUAAACAAAGGAAGAAUGGUGCCCAUUUAUUGUAAUCCCCAUCCCAUACAUCAUUUAAGAUAAGAAAAUUUUUUUUUCCUUCAAUUGAUCGAUGGAUAUGGCUCAUAAGAGAUUGGAAUUCGCUUAAACUAGAAGUUGACUCACCUAGACCUUCAAUGAUUGCGUUGGCAACGCUAAUCUCCUCGAAAGUGUCUGAUACACACACCCACAUAACUUUUUCAAAAUUUCUUUUCACCUCAUCAUUAUUAUAGGCUAGCUGUGCAAGAGUGGUUUUACCUAUACCCCCUAAGCCAAUUAGUGAAAUGACAUGAAGGCCUUUUUGUUGUUCACUACUUUCACACAACAACUUGCUUAAGAGCUCAUUUUUCUCAUCAACUCUACCGCAAACCUCUCCUUCAUCAAUCAAGGAGGUGGUUCGCACUCGCUCUGGUGUCUUGACAUUGUUACUCACAUUCUCAACAAAUUUAAACCUAUCUUUUUGAGAGGCAAUAUCAUCUAGCUUUUCAUUGAUUCCCCUAAUCUUGACAGCAAUGUCAUGACGAAGACUGAGUUGUUUGAAACUACCAAAGCAGUUUGAUACAGCACGAAAGAAGGAACGUACCUUCUUCUUGCGAGGAGCAAGGGAAAGACCGUUGCAUCAUCAACGCCCUCAAUUUUAGGGAUGGCAAAAAUCCCCACGGGGACGGGUACCCUCGGGGAUUUUCCCCAUUCGGGGAGGGUACGGGGAUAAUUUCUUACCCAAUUUUUUAUUCGGGGAGGGGACGGGGAAAAUUUUUUACCGAGGAGCAAGGGAAAGACCAUUGUCAUCUGCUGUACGGCCAAGGCGGAUGUACGGUACAGCAGAGGCAGGCCUUUGCACUUGCGUGCAAUUUUUCGCCCGAUUGGUUCUAAUCUUUCACAAUCCUCGAAAGAGCGACCGAAAAAUGCUAACCGCUUGAACAACGACCAGCAUUCCUCUUCAGUCAAUUGCUCAAUGAAAAUAAUAUUUGUUGAUCCCAUCAUACGUGCAACUGAGUCAUUACGUGUAGUAACCAAAAUUUUACUUCCGUGGAGACCAUGCUUUAAACAAGGGAAGAAUGGUUCCCAUUUAUUGUAAUCCCCAUCCCAUACAUCAUCUAAGAUAAGAAAAAAAAUUUUUCCUUCAAUUGAUCGAUGGAUAUGGCUCAUAAGAGAUUGGAAUUCACUUAAACUAGAAGUUGACUCACCUAGACCUUCAAUGAUUGCUUUGGCAACCCUAAUCUCCUCGAAAGUGUCUGAUACACACACCCAUAUAACUUUUUGAAAAUUUCUUUUCACCUCAUCAUUAUUAUAGGCUAGCUGUGCAAGAGUGGUUUUACCUAUACCCCCUAAGCCAAUUAGUGAAAUGACAUGAAGGCCUUUUUGUUGUUCACUACUUUCACACAACAACUUGCUUAAGAGCUCAUUUUUCUCAUCAACUCUACCGCAAACCUCUCCCUCAUCAAUCAAGGAGGUGGUUCGCACUGCUCUGGUUUCUUGACAUUGUUACUCACAUUCUCAACCUAUCUUUUUGAGAGGCAAUAUCAUCUAGCUUUUCAUUGAUUCCCCUAAUCUUGACAGCAAUGUCAUGACGAAGACUGAGUUGUUUGAAACUACCAAAGCAGUUUGAUACAGCACGAAAGAAGGAACGUACCUUCUUCUUGCGAGGAGCAAGGGAAAGACCAUUGUCAUCAUCAACGCCCUCAAUUUGUAAUUUGAGCCUUGCAAAGACCCACUCGUCCAACACAUCUUCCAUGUCGUAGGAUGCGUCUUUGAGCUGAUCCAGCCAAAAAGUAACAGCUUUGUCCAGCUGCAUUUGCCUUUGCUCUGCAUCCUCCAGCACACCUCGAAUGGCUUGAAGAUUGCUGGUAAGCUUUUUCACUUCAUCAGCCGCAACAGAGAUCAGCUGCUCCAGGAGAGAGGAAACGAUCGCAUCAACCAUUCUAACAAAGAAGACGAGAAUUCUAAAGAGUUAUUAGAUGUGCUUUUGUUGCGAUGAUACUGAAAGAAAAGGAGUUAUUGCAUUCUUUUAUACUUCAUAGAAAAUGUUUAUGCUUAUCCCCACCCCACACGUCAAUGAUUGUAGAAUGUUUAAUUUCCCUGAUUCUACUCCACUAGUUGUUAUGCGUAAUUAUAAAUAUUCUCAAGUUAUGUAUGAAAAUAGCACAAAUUUGGAUCUAGCAUUAACUCAAAUUCACAAAGGAAUAAAUAACCAAAAGAAACAAGAUUGGAGAAAUCAUAUUGGUAAAUAGGCACAUUGUUUCCUUAAUAAUCUCAAUAAAAUUAGUAAUAUUCAUAUUAGUCCCUAAAAAAUUAAUAUAUAUAUAACCGAAAAAAUCUUGUUAGUCCCCAUCAUCAGAAUUUAUUGAAAUAUUUUUAGCGCGAGUUAAAAACAAGUUCCCAACUUCACCAUUAGUUAAAUCUGAAGUAUACAUAUAGAAAUUCUUUCUCGCUGAAUUCCAUACAAAAUAGAGUGCGAAUAAGACAUUUUACAGUCUAACAAAAUGAUUUUUAUUAUUGCAAAACUAUUAAUAAUAAUCUAAAAUACUAUAUCUGCGUGUUAUUUCGUGCAGAAAUAUGUAGAGAGGGAAUAUAUUAAUUUCUAAUAAAAUCUUAGUCAAACUUUUAUCAACAUUUUGCAUUGGAUGAAAAAAGUUAAGCUUAUCCCCACCUACACGUUAGUAAUUGUAGUAGCAUCUUUAAUUUCCCUGAUUCUACUCCACCGAUGAACACACGUUAGGAAUUUGGCACAUAAUAAUAAUAAUUCUCAAACUCGUCGCAUCCUUAACGUAUGGUUGAUGAAUAAACUUUUUCAAUGUUUCCCCAAGCGAUGGAAACGAUGGCAUCAGCCAUUUGAUGUUAGAUUAAAUGCUAAAUGUUACAAUUGCUUUUGUUACGAAAAUGCUCAAAGGAAAGUGGCUUUUGUUUAUUCAGUCAGAAUGGUCAUUCAGGCAUUUUUGCCUUCUUCUUAUACUAAAUGAGAUAAUUUUUACGCUUAAUUUUUAUGCUGCAAAUUAAAGGAGUCCCAAUAACAGUCACCGCCUGGGGCUGGCCUUUCGCUGUGCUCCCCCACGUCAUUAAUUGUACAACAUCUGCCCUGUUUCUCUGAUUCAUAAUAAUUAUGCGUACUACUCAGCGUCAGCAUUUGUAAAAUUUCUUUCAUUAUAAGUAACCAAGUAUUUGUAAACUACGACGAAAACUUAAAGCAAUCUACCGAUGAACCUUCUGAAGUUAUGUAUAAUAGAUUAAUUUAACCUAGAAUAAUCUUAGUGUUGGAACAAUUUCAAAAUAAAUGAUGUCUAACUAUAAAGACAUAUGCAAGUAAUUGUGCCAUAGAGAAGGUAUCUUUCCACUUAAGAAUGUAUCAUUUCAUAGUGUCAUUUCAUUUGAAAUGGUAAUGGACCAAUUUAAACCAUUGAUUGAAAUGAAAUCUUAUUUCAAUGGCUAUAAAUGAAAGGGUAUCAUGAGAAAUGACAAUCUAAAUGGAGGGGCACAAGUAUAUCUAUAAAUACAAGCCAUGUUUAGGCCAUUUGGAUGUGAAAAUAAUAAUCCUACAACACUCUUUUCUCAACUCUCCUUCCUGAAACGAAUUUUAUCAUAUUUUAUGAAUCAAAUAUCCGAUAUAUUGUUUACUGUAGGAACAAUAUAUCAGCAAAUAAUAAAUUGAUUAUUGACGAGCUUACAACAUUCAAGAGUAUUUAGGUUUACUUUCGUUGAUGCACAAUGCAAGCAAACAAAUAAGUGCUUCAUUGCUUUGUAGAUGCGUAUUUGCUUAACCUAAGUACAUUAUUCAAUUGGUGAGAGCACAUAACGUCUUAAGAAAAACAACAUUCAUAACGUGCCUUAAAAUGCACAUUAUUUUUUUGCAAUUUGCCUGUUACUAUUAUUUUUGUUGUACCUACGGAGUAAUAAACUCAUUAUUUUAUUAGAAUAAAAUUCCACCAUUAUUAUUGCAACUCUCUAUGUUUUCCAUUAGUACAUGAUUGACUCAUUAUCUUUGUGGCACAAUCAUUUAGGACUUUUGAAUAUUAAAAGAUUGCAUGAUAUGGCUAAUUUGGAAUUAAUUUCUAAAUAUGAAUAUAAUGAUCCUACAUCACUCUCUUCUCAGACCUCUUUCUUGAAACGAAUUUCAUCGCAUAACAUAUAUACUAUAUGACUAAAUAUCAAAUAUAUUGUUUACUGCAAGAACAAUAUAUUGAUUCUUGGCAAGCUUGCAAUAUUCAAGCAUAUUAAGGUUUGCUUUCAUUGAUGAACAACUCGAGCAAACAAAUACGUGCUUUGUUGUUUCCUGAAGAUGUGUUUGCUUAGCCCAUGUGCAUCACUCAAUGGGACAAAUAAUGUCUUAAGGAAAACGACAUUUGUAAUAUAUUUUGAAGUACACAUUAAUUUUCUACAGUUAAUUACUUAUUACUAUUAUCUUCUUGUACCUAUAGAGUUGUAAACACAUUAAUUUAUUAUAAUAAACUUCCACCUUUAUUACUACAAUUCUCUACAUUUAUCAUUCCCCACAAAUAUAUAUCCCGGCACUUAGUAGAUAGAUUAUUUUAUUAUAAAUAUCAAUAGAUUUUAAUUGCAUAAUACAUAUUGAUGAAAUUAUAUAGAGUAAUUUCGUCCAAUUAUAUUAAUCGGUUAUGAAUUUCAUCACAAAUUUAUAUGUGGCCAAUACCGUGCAAGUGAAAUUUCAGAUAAAAUCAUCUCCUGACAAUUUAUUUAUUAUAUUUUUCAAUUUUGCUUUAAUGUAUGGAUCCAUUUCUUGUCUCUGUGGCAGACAAUCUUUAUUAUCAGGUAGGCAAAAUCAAAAGCCAUUAUCUCAUUAAUUUUAUUGUGCCAUGACAAACUCCAAGAUCUAAUUUAGAGAGCAAUCAUGGUAAUUAGUAAUUUAUUAGAUCUGCAGUUAGCUAGAUACUUUGUUUGACAGAAAAAGAAUAAAACCAGUUUCAUAAUGAUUUUAGUUACAAUAAAUACCAUAUUAUGGUAUAUGACUUACCUCAUAUUACAAAGAAAAUAUGUGAAAUAUAAUUAAGGAUUAAAGUUUUCCACACCGAUUUAUAAGAUUUCUUUUGAUAAAACUGUUCUGAUGAAAUGAAAUUACUAAGAAUUCAAUUAGUCCCUCAAGAAGGUUUAUUUAUUGCUUGACUUCUCGAGUUUAAAAUUCGAAUGUCAAAAUAGAGAAAAAUUUAAAAAAUUAUUUUAUGUUUCAUCCACCCGUUUACCAUUUUAAUACAUAAAAAACGAAAAACUUAGCUGGCAAUUUUACUAGCAAAACUUAUAUUUUGUUCCAUAUCGAGGGGUGCAACUCAGGGUAAAUCUUCAGGGGGGCCUAAGUUCAAACUUGAAAUGCUAGUUGGGCAUUUGGUUGACUCAUCGCAAGGUUCGAAACAAUAUAAUAUAUGUUAGGAAAUUGGUGGGUGAAGCAGACACGCAGCUAAAGUAAAAUUGGAAGAAAAUAAAGAACAAGCACAAUAGAGGACACCAGAAAUUACGUGGUUCGGCUUUUAGCCUACGUCCACGGGCGAAGACAGAAGGAAAUAUUUUACUAGUGAAAAGGAGUUACAAGUAUUGUAGUAUUUUAGCUCACUUCCCAAAACCCCAAUACACCCAAACUCUCUAACUCACUAGACACUCAAGAGUUUAUUAAACUCUUAAAACUCUCAACACUCAAGAAAGCAAUGCUUCUCUCUCGAUGGAAUUGAAUGAUAUACAAAUGAAGGGAGCCAAUGUUUUUAUAGCCAAAAUUAGCUACUGUUCAUUUAAUAUUUAAUUAUUAUUAUUAUUUUAUUAAUUUUUCUUUUUCUUUUCCUUCUUCGGCCCGGCAUCUCUUUUUCUUCUUUCUCUUUCGUUUCUUUCCUUGGGCGGCAUCUACUUGGCCUUCAAAGCCGUGUGCCACCAAUGAAGCUUAUUCAAAGCUUCUAGAUGCAGCUUCUAGAUGCUGCAGCCAAAGUAUUUUGACAAAUUCUCACAAUUUCAUCUUGUAGUUUUCUGAAAAUCAAAAUAUAGAUAAUUCUUCCUACAGUUUCAUUCUAACAACUCAAAUAAAAAGCCCAGAAACUAGAAUCAAACUUUACAAAAAGAAAAAUGCACAAAAAGUCGAACAAAGCGAGUCUAGUUAAGCUUUACUUCAAAAAAACAAACUGGUAAUUAACCCGAUUAAUACACAUUAUAAAAAUCAUGUAAGCAAAUGCACCAUCGGAGGGACUCAGGGGAGUGAUUAAUUAACAAAAAUAAGAAUAAUAAUACCAACAUUUGUACAGUACCGAAGAAAUAAAUUCAAGCUUCGAAAAUUCAAACUUUCAGGGAUAAUGUUCUUGCUCUGCCGAAACUUUGCAGCUGCUGUUGGUCUUGUUCCGUCCAAACUCAGCUUAGAGUUUCGGCUUUCAACGCGCAACAUCUGAGGUUCCUCUUAUGUAUCUCAGAAUCCUCUUAACAGUUAUCCAAUGCUCUCCACCAGGAUUCGCCAUGUAUCGACUAACUGAUCCCACUGCUUGUGCAAUGUCUGGUCUUGUACAUAUCAUAGCGAACAUCAAACUUCCCACUGCUGAUGCAUACGGUACUCGAGACAUCUCCUUCCUCUCUGCUUCAUUACUAGGACACAUACUUGAGGAUAAUUUGAAAUUAACAGGAAGUGGGGUAGAAAUUGACUUACAAUCUUGCAUGUUGAAGCGUCGCAAGAUUUUCUUCAAGUAAUUCUUCUGCGAAAGCCAAAUCUUCAUGUUAUUUUUGUCUCGGUGAAUUUGCAUCCCUAGAAUCUUGUUUGCUAGUCCCAAGUCCUUCAUUUCAAACUCCCUAGCCAACUGUGCCUUCAAUUCUUAGAUUCGAUCUUUGUUGGGACCUGCUACCAACAUGUCAUCCACAUACAACAGCAAAAUAAUGAAAUCAUUAUCUUCAAACCUCUUGUAAUAUGCACAAUGGUCUGAACUGAGUCUGUUGUACCCAAGGCUCAUAAUGAAGGAAUCAAAUCUCUUAUACCAACACCUCGACGCCUGUUUGAGACCGUAUAGAGAUUUGUUCAACCUGCAAACCAAGUUCUCCUUUCCUGUUUCUGCAAAACCUUCUGGUUGGAGCAUAUAUAUUUCUUCUUCAAGUUCUCCAUGAAGAAAUGCAGUUUUCACAUCUAACUGCUCUAGAUGUAGGUCAAAUGUAGCACACACUGCCAAGACUAUUCUGACUGUUGUGAGUCGAACCACCGGAGAAAAUAUCUCCUUGAAGUCAAUACCUUCUUUCUGAGCAUAUCCUUUCACCACCAAUCUUGCACGAUACCGCUCNNNNNNNNNNNNNNNNNNNNNNNNNNNNNNNNNNNNNNNNNNNNNNNNNNNNNNNNNNNNNNNNNNNNNNNNNNNNNNNNNNNNNNNNNNNNNNNNNNNNNNNNNNNNNNNNNNNNNNNNNNNNNNNNNNNNNNNNNNNNNNNNNNNNNNNNNNNNNNNNNNNNNNNNNNNNNNNNNNNNNNNNNNNNNNNNNNNNNNNNNNNNNNNNNNNNNNNNNNNNNNNNNNNNNNNNNNNNNNNNNNNNNNNNNNNNNNNNNNNNNNNNNNNNNNNNNNNNNNNNNNNNNNNNNNNNNNNNNNNNNNNNNNNNNNNNNNNNNNNNNNNNNNNNNNNNNNNNNNNNNNNNNNNNNNNNNNNNNNNNNNNNNNNNNNNNNNNNNNNNNNNNNNNNNNNNNNNNNNNNNNNNNNNNNNNNNNNNNNNNNNNNNNNNNNNNNNNNNNNNNNNNNNNNNNNNNNNNNNNNNNNNNNNNNNNNNNNNNNNNNNNNNNNNNNNNNNNNNNNNNNNNNNNNNNNNNNNNNNNNNNNNNNNNNNNNNNNNNNNNNNNNNNNNNNNNNNNNNNNNNNNNNNNNNNNNNNNNNNNNNNNNNNNNNNNNNNNNNNNNNNNNNNNNNNNNNNNNNNNNNNNNNNNNNNNNNNNNNNNNNNNNNNNNNNNNNNNNNNNNNNNNNNNNNNNNNNNNNNNNNNNNNNNNNNNNNNNNNNNNNNNNNNNNNNNNNNNNNNNNNNNNNNNNNNNNNNNNNNNNNNNNNNNNNNNNNNNNNNNNNNNNNNNNNNNNNNNNNNNNNNNNNNNNNNNNNNNNNNNNNNNNNNNNNNNNNNNNNNNNNNNNNNNNNNNNNNNNNNNNNNNNNNNNNNNNNNNNNNNNNNNNNNNNNNNNNNNNNNNNNNNNNNNNNNNNNNNNNNNNNNNNNNNNNNNNNNNNNNNNNNNNNNNNNNNNNNNNNNNNNNNNNNNNNNNNNNNNNNNNNNNNNNNNNNNNNNNNNNNNNNNNNNNNNNNNNNNNNNNNNNNNNNNNNNNNNNNNNNNNNNNNNNNNNNNNNNNNNNNNNNNNNNNNNNNNNNNNNNNNNNNNNNNNNNNNNNNNNNNNNNNNNNNNNNNNNNNNNNNNNNNNNNNNNNNNNNNNNNNNNNNNNNNNNNNNNNNNNNNNNNNNNNNNNNNNNNNNNNNNNNNNNNNNNNNNNNNNNNNNNNNNNNNNNNNNNNNNNNNNNNNNNNNNNNNNNNNNNNNNNNNNNNNNNNNNNNNNNNNNNNNNNNNNNNNNNNNNNNNNNNNNNNNNNNNNNNNNNNNNNNNNNNNNNNNNNNNNNNNNNNNNNNNNNNNNNNNNNNNNNNNNNNNNNNNNNNNNNNNNNNNNNNNNNNNNNNNNNNNNNNNNNNNNNNNNNNNNNNNNNNNNNNNNNNNNNNNNNNNNNNNNNNNNNNNNNNNNNNNNNNNNNNNNNNNNNNNNNNNNNNNNNNNNNNNNNNNNNNNNNNNNNNNNNNNNNNNNNNNNNNNNNNNNNNNNNNNNNNNNNNNNNNNNNNNNNNNNNNNNNNNNNNNNNNNNNNNNNNNNNNNNNNNNNNNNNNNNNNNNNNNNNNNNNNNNNNNNNNNNNNNNNNNNNNNNNNNNNNNNNNNNNNNNNNNNNNNNNNNNNNNNNNNNNNNNNNNNNNNNNNNNNNNNNNNNNNNNNNNNNNNNNNNNNNNNNNNNNNNNNNNNNNNNNNNNNNNNNNNNNNNNNNNNNNNNNNNNNNNNNNUGGGUCCAUCAACUAAGAGACUCUUGUUUGUUGCUUGAGGAUGGUGGCAGUAAAUUCUUUUCCAUGCAUGAUGUUGUUCGCGAUGUUGCCAUUUCAAUAGCACGUCGUGACAAAAUUGCAUUUGCGGUGAGAAAUGAGGAUGUGUGGAACUGGCCAGAUGCAGAUGCACUAAAAAAAUAUUUUGCAAUUUGUUUAAAAGAUAGUAUUAUUAAUGACAUUCCUGAAGUGUUGGAAUCUACACAACUUGAAUUUUUAUUCAUGUCACCCAAGAACUCUUUUGUUGGGCCCAAUGUUCCUGAGAACUUCUUCAAAAGGACGAAAAAGCUUCGGGUUUUGGAUUUGACUAGAAUGCGGUUAUUGUCAUUGCCAUCUUCAAUUGAUCUUCUAGUAAAUCUUCGGACACUUUGUCUUAAUCAAAGCAUUUUGGGAGACAUGGACACAGUAAUUAUUGGAAAGUUGGAAAAUCUGGAAAUCCUUAGCUUUGUGCGGUCUGAUAUUGUACAGUUACCUAAAGCACUAGGGCAACUGACUAAGCUAAGGCUGUUAGAUUUAAGAGACUGUUUCCAUCUAAAAGUUAUUGCCCCAAAUGUCUUAUCGAGCUUAAUCCGAUUAGAAGAAUUGUAUAUGGGUAAUUGCUCCGUUGAAUGGGAGCUUGAAAGAGCCAACAGUGAAAGAAGUAAUGCUAGCCUUGAUGAAUUGAUGCUUUUACCUUGGCUAAACACUCUAGAAAUUGAUGUUAAAAAUGACAGUAUUUUACCGGAAGGCUUUUUGGCCAGAAAGCUCGAAAGGUUCAAAAUAUCUAUUGGAAAUGGGUUAUUCAUGCAUCCCAUGAGUGUUGGACAACAUUGGUUUAAAAGUCGGCCGCGCUUUUCGAUCAACAGUGAUCGCAAGAGUUUAAGAUCAUUGAAGCUCAAGCUUGAUUUUAUGGACAUUUGCUCCAUGAAAUUGCAGGGCAUCAAUAACGUUGAAUGCUUAUGGUUGGACAAGCUGCAAGGCAUCGAGAAUGUUCUUUUCAAUUUGGACACGGAGGGCUUUUCACAAUUGAAGCUUCUCGGCGUUCAAAAUAAUCCUGACGUCUUUUGCAUUGUCGAUUCAAGGGAGAUGGUCGCUUGUGAUGCCUUUCCUCUUUUGGAGUCACUUGGCCUUCACAAUUUGAUCAACAUGGAGAGGAUAUGUAUUGAUCAGCUCAAAGUAGAGUCUUUCAACGAACUCAAAAUCAUACAAGCAUAUAAUUGUGAUAAAUUGAGUAAUAUCUUUUGGCUCUCUACAACAAAAUGCCUUCCAAGACUUGAGAGAAUUGCAGUUAUUAAUUGCAGCAAGAUGAAAGAGAUUUUUGCAAUUGGGGAAGAAGUUGAUAAUGCAAUUGAGAAGAUAGAGUUUGCUCAAUUAAGAUCUUUGAGUCUGGGGAAUCUUCCAGAGGUUACAAGUUUUUGCCGCCGUGAGGUGGAGACUCCUUCUGCAUCACCGAACAGACAAGUGUCACAAGAGGAAUCGACGACUAUGUAUUGCUCCAGCGAAAUCACUUUGGACAUUUCAACUCUGCUUUUCAACGAGAAGGUGCGUAGGCUAACAUUUUCUUUAUAUAUAUAUAUAUAACAGACUUUAUUCUAUCAUGCGUUCUGUUUUGAUGUCAUACGUGGAAAAUAAUUAAAUCAUUUAAAGAUUUGAAAGAAAAUGGAAAAAAGGAUAAAAAGAAUCUCACGCGCUCACUAAUUGAGCUCUUAACAAGUAGUAUGAAUUAGAAUGCAUUCUCAGCUGUCAGUUGGAAAUUGAUUCGGACUUGCAUUAAUUUGUAAUCAAAGAAGAAAAUUUCAACAAGUGCUUCCCAUAUGGAUAUUGGAUCUAACGAGAAAUUCUUAUUUUUUUAGGUUGCGUUGCCUAACUUGGAGGCUUUGGAGAUAUCUGAUAUUAAUGUCGACAAGAUUUGGCACUACAAUCAAAUUCCGGCGGCCAUGUUUCCUCACUUUCAAAGUUUAACACGAUUAGUUGUGUGGUGGUGUCACAAACUGAAAUACAUAUUUUCAGCGUCUAUGAUCGGAAGCCUUAAGCAGCUCCAACACCUAGAUAUACGAGACUGUAAGGAUUUACAGGAGAUCAUUUCUGAAAACAGAGCAGAUCAAGUGAAAAAUACAACCAAUAGCUCUGAUACCACUGUUAGGAAAUUGGUGGGUGCAGCAGGACCGCAACUAAAAUAAAAUUGGAAAUAAAAUAAAGAACAAGCACAAUAGAGGACACCAGAAAUUACGUGGUUCGGCUUUUAGCCUACGUCCACGGGCGAAGACAGAAGGAAAUAUUUUACUAGUGAAAAGGAGUUACAAGUAUUGUAGUAUUUUAGCUCACUUCCCAAAACCCCAAUACACCCAAACUCUCUAACUCACUAGACACUCAAGAGUUUAUUAAACUCUUAAAACUCUCAACACUCAAGAAAGCAAUGCUUCUCUCUCGAUGGAAAUUGAAUACAAAUGAAUGAGUGAGCACUUCCUUUUAUAGCCAAAAAAUGGCUAUUAAAUUAAUAUAUAUAUGUAUAUAUUUCAAAUGUAGUUACCAACUUCUUCUUUUUCUCCAUUUGGAUGGCAACAUUUUCUUUGGCCGGCUGCACCAUUUUCUUUUUUCAAAUGUCAAACCUGUGUGCUCAUUUUCCUUUCCAACUUGCUGCAAAAUUCCUCUUCUUUGAACAACAUGGAUGUUGACCAUCUAGAUGGCUGCUUUUGACAAUAUAUGUCUAAAAGGAUACCCGUAGCUCAAAUUAUGACCUCCAUAAGAUAUCUUACUCAUUCCACGCGACCAUCCUACAUCAACUUGCCUCUGCUUUGCAUCUUCCAGCACAGCUUAAAUGGGUUGAAGAUUUAUAGUAAGUCACAAGCAGUAAAGGAGUUCAGCUGCUCCAGAAGAGGGGAAGGGAUCGCAUCCGCCAUUCUGACAGAGAAAAGGAGAAAUAAUUUGUUAAGUGUGCUUUUAUUGCGAAAAUAAUGAAAGAAAGGAGCUCAUGCAUUCUUCUUAUACUGCAUGAAAAAUGUUUAUGCUUAUCCUUCCCACCCCACACGUCAAUAAUUUUAGCAUCUUUAAUUUCCCUGAUGCUACUCCACAGCUGUUGUACAUAAUUGUAAAUAUUCUCAAACUAAUUUGUAGUCGUCGGGUCAGUGCCAUUUAAAACAAGAACAAAAAACCAAAAUAAUAGUAAUAAUAAUAAUAAUAAUAAUAGUUGAAAAAAGCAUCCGUCACCAGAUUAUUUAUUUAUUUGUUUGAGGAUGCGGAUAUUUUCUACCCACUUAUUUUGCAAAUCCACCCUGCUGUCAGAAAAUAAUUUAGUAAGUUCAUACUAUUUUUAAAAUAUGUAAAUUGAUAAAAUGUUUAGACAAUUAAUAAAUUAAAUCAUUCUUAUAUAUAUAUAUUUUUAACUUAGGUAUCUUUGACCAUUUAGGUUGCUUUAAUUUAAAAUAAAUUUUAUUUGACUAUUUGACCAUAAUAAUAUAAAAUGACUGAAAUGCCCCAAGAAUCAUGAACUCUUGUAUAAAAUAGCUUAAUAAUUUUAUUUUAUUUGAUUCAAUCUCCAAAUUUCUUCUUUAUUUGAAUUUUUAAAAAAAUAAUUAGAACUUAUUGUAAUUAUUUCUAGGGAGUGGGGUGGGUUUAUAAAAAUUAGAGGCCUUUUUGUUUAUUAAUUGUUGUAAAAUGUGUAUCUAUCAUAUAAACACAUGCUUUGUCUAUAUCAGCCUUGAGCGCGACCUUUUUUUCCAUCUUCACUGUGUUAUAUGAUAAACUUUAACUUAUCCCCUACUUAGAAUGAUAAUCUUUAAUUUACCUCUAAAAAAUGUGAAACAUCAACUUAAUCUAAUUACCAUUAAGAAGACAAUAUAUAAUCAUUCUCAAGUGCGGACACUUUCAUUUUUUUUAAUGCAAACAUGCUGCUAAGCCAUGUGACAUAAUAAAGUUAAUCGUGCGGUUUAACAAAUAUUAAAAAUUCACGGUUUAAUACCGUGUCUGUAUAAAAAAGUGAGGGCGCUCAUACUAGACAAGAACUCUGUAUGUGUGUGUACACAUACAUAUCAAUGCACCCCAUCAUCUUUUGUUGAAUAAAAAUACGGAUAAAUUGAGAGUAUUAUACUUUGAGGAGUAAAUUGAAGAUUGUUAUUGUUAUUCCUAGUAGGCAAUAAAAAGAAGUUUAUCUGUAAUAGAUAUCAGGUAUUUCAGGUAGGCCAAAAAAGUAGUGGUUCGGUAAUCAAUUUCUUUUGUUCUUUUAAUUAAUUAGAAAAGAAAAAUUAUGGGGAGCUUUUGUCUAUUGAAUUGAGCUUCUGUCAAGAAAAGUACGUAUCGGAUGAUCAAUAUAUAACCUUUCAAUAAUAAAUUUGUUAGACUUAUUGUUAUUUUUGUGACUUAAAAGUAUGAGAGGAAGUAAGCGGGCAUUCGGUAUUGUUUUUUACUGGCCAUUCUCAUUUUACUUUUGUAAAUUCAAGUAAAAUUAGCGUUCAGUAGUCCUUCUCAUAACAUUUAAUUGUAAAACACAGAAUCUAACUUGCCGUUAACAGUUGUAAAUUACAAAACAACUGAUACAUGUUUUACUUAUUUUAUAAAAAAAAAAUUGUAAAAUAAAUUACAGUAAUAAAUACGAUUAUAAUAAAUAAUAAUAGUCUCCAUCUUUAAGUCUCCAGGACCUCAUCCAUCUCACUAACCCUAUCUCUUAAGUCUCAUCUUCCUCCGUGAUUUAUGAACUGAAUCUCCUUCUUCCAUUCUUCUUCCUCGGUUUGUUCUAUUUUUACUUCAUAGUACUUUCUUUUUUGCUGGGUUUUUUUUUUUUUUUUGGAUGGAUUUAUGUGUUCUUAUACAUUUUCUUGAAUUUCAUUUUGAUAAAAUCACCAAAGAUCAGUAGAGAUUUACAUUAUUUAUCUGAGUAUUUGGUUCUUUAAUGGACGCAAGCAAGUAAUCUUUCUCCCAUAAGUUUUUAUUUGAUCAAAUGUUAAAAUGUUGAACGGAGAAUUAGAUUUUUUUUUUUAAAUAAACGGAGAAUUAGAUUUAAAAUCUUAUUCCUAUUUAUGUCCAGUUCAAAUCUUUUUAGCAAAUGAUCUAAUCUCAAGCAUAGAAGGUAGGAAGAUAGAUUGAACAGUGAACACAUUAACAAAAAAAAGUUAUUUAAAAAAAUUAAUAUUUUAUAUCACAAAAUUUCAUUAUUAUUAUUGUAAGUUGGUAUAUUGAAAAAUAAACAAAAUUUUAUAUAAACUUUAACACAAAUAUAAUUCGCAUGUAGUAAAAUUGUUUAAUAUAUCCAUUAUUUUAUCAUUUUUAACUUUAUCUAUCAAAUGUGUAUUGUUAUUUUCAUUUUAAAAAAUAAGAUAAAUAAAAUAAUACCGAAUACAUAUUUCAAUAAAAAAUUUAUUGAAAACAUCAUUUUCUUUCUCAUAAUAUAAAUUUAAAAAUAAAAUACAGAACAUGCCCUAACAUUUUCUGAAUUUAUUUUUAUACUGUAAAAGGAUCAAAUUACUCACAAAGUUAUUUUAGCUUUCAUGAUAUAAACAAAUAAUCAUCAUUUAAUUUCAAUAGAAAGAAAUAUUCUGGGUAGAAUUGACUUCUUUAGUAAAAUAUAACCUAUUUGGGACUUCUUACUCUAUUAGGUUAAUAAUGCAUCGAUUGUCACAUCAUUAAUUUUAGAUUAUAAAUUUAUAUUCAAACUUUGUAAGAUCAUCAUUUCUCCUUUUUUAUUUUUUUUAAAAAAAUAACUUCUUGCAUGAUCUAAUUGGUCUCGUUUCAAAAGAAACCCAAAAAAAAAAAAAUUAACUAAAGUAAAAGGAAAUAAAUCAUAUUACUUAUCUUAAUUACUUUCAUUUGUUAUCGACAUGUACUCAUGCAUUGUGUUUUUGUAUAUUUUAUUGAUACGUUUCUCUUAAGGGAUAAAACUCAUUGUGUGGCAAAAUUUUAUUGGUGCUGGGAUUAUUUAUAUAUGUUCUAGUACUUUGAGCAUCUUACUAUGCACUCGUCUAUAUUUAACAUUAAUUUUUACUACUCAUUGAAAUAUCAAAAUAGUCCAUACUAAACAUCUUUCAUUAAUGUUCUUUAUUUAUUUUUUUUUUUUGGAUACACUAAUAUAUUAUAAUUAGAGUUCGUAAGAGAGUGUAUUGCAAGAAAAGAAGUGCAAAUCAAGUAUAUAAAAUCACAAGAUCAAGCAGCUAAUAUCUUCACCAAGCCGCUCAAGUAGGAAGACUUCGUAAGAUUCAGAAGUUUGCUUGGUGUCACAGGAUCAAGUUUAAGGGGUUGUUGGAUCAUAAACUUGAUUCAAGAUGAAUAAAUUCAAGCCCAACUCAUGGAAGGUUUCAUGAGUAGGUGUGGUUGGUGAGGUUUGAAUUAUUUGUGUUAGGUGUGGUAGGUUUGGUAGGUGAAGAUGGAUGGUUAUUAAUUUUUUGUAAUUUCUUAUUUGAAUGGUUAUGAUUAGCUUGUUUCAUGUAUAAAUACCUCCUCUCCCCUUUGGUUUAAACAUCAAGUGAGUAAAAAAAUCUCUAAGUUGUAGAGAGUGAAAAAUAAGAGUUGUAGUUGGCGAGAAGUGUUGUUGAAGAAAUAAAAUAGUGUGUUUUUUCAAUGUUAUAUGUGUUAAUUCUCCAACAAAGUGGUAUCAGAGCUAGUGUUCGAUGCUAUAUAUAGUCAUCUAGCAUAUCAAAUCGAAGAUCGUGGCGAGAGGAACAUGACGCCGCAAACAUCAUCCCGAUCAGAGACCGAAUGCGUCCACACUCGCUGUCGGAAUUUUUAUGUCCUGAAGUUGAGUCGACUCACCGAGUUGAAUUAAGCUGAGCCGAACCGAACCGAACCAAGCUGAGCUGAGCUGAGCUGAACUGAAUCAAGUCGAACGGAACCAACUCGAGCCGAACCAAGACUACUAAGCCGACGUUGACCGUUGACCGAUGUUGACCACUGACCAGUGUUGACCAUUGAUUGAAAGUUGACUCGCGUCCUUCCCAAGGUUUUUCGACGUGCCGAAUCCAUCCAUGCAUUCUGAAUCUCAAAAUUCUCACUCAAUUUGUGAGUUAUGACAAAUGGUGGUAUGAUGUUAUUUCAAGUUCCACAAUUAAAGGGAAGAAAGUUUGACAAUUAGAGUAUUAAAAUGAAGACUCUAUUGGGUGCACAUGACGUAUGGGAUGUCAUGGAGAAAGGCUUUAUUGUGCUAGAAAAUGAAGCCACUUUAACUACAGCGCAGAAGGAGAAUUUUAAAGACUUGAAAAAGAAAGAGAAUAAAGCAAAGUAUCUCAUCUUUCAAUCAUUAGAUGAAGAUACUUUUGAAAAGAUUGCUAGUACAACCUCCUCAAAAGAAGCAUGGGAGAAACUAGAGACCUCUUACAAAGCAGCAGGGCAAGUUAAGAAAGUUAGUCUCUAAACAUUACGAGGAGAAUUUGAGUCCUUACAUAUAAAGGCGUCUGAGUCAAUUUCUGACUACUUUACUCGAGUUGUGACCGUUUCUAAUGAAUUAAAAAGAAAUGGCGAGGAGUUAAAAGAGGUAAGGAUCAUUGAAAAGAUACUUCGAUCAGUAGACUCGAAGUUUGACCAUAUUGUUGUGACAAUUGAGGAGACAAUAAAUCUGAAGGAUAUGACGAUCAAGCAACUUUAAGGAAGGUUGCAAGCUUAUGAAGAAAAACUAAAAAAGAAAUAAGGAAUCAAAGAACAACUUCUCAAGAUGGAAGUCAAUCCAAAGAAAAGAAAAGAAAGCUCCGACAAUGAGAGAAGGUACUAUGUCCGAGGUAGAGGUCAUGGUCAUGGUCAUGGACGAGGUUGAAAUUUCAACAACAAUAACUCCAAUUAUGCCAAAGGAGAAAGCUCAACCAGAGGACGAGGCAGAGGCAAUCCAAGAUCGAGGUAUGACAAAUCCCAAGUACAGUGUUAUAAUUGUCAAAAGUUUGGCCAUUGUGGUUCAGAAUGCAGAGCUCCAAGCACCAGAAUUGAGGAGAGAGUGAAUUAUGUUGAAGAGAAAAAUGGUGAAGAUGGUACACUUUUACUAGCAUGCAAUGACACAAGUGGAGGUCAAGAAAAUACAUGGUAUCUUGACACAGGUGCUAGCAAUCAUAUGAAUGGAAACAUAAGUAUGUUCAUGGAACUAAGUGAAUCUGUGAAUGGCAGUGUCACUUUUGGAGAUGAUUCAAAAGUACUAGUGAAGGGUAAAGGUAACAUUCUUUUUCGUGCAAAAUAUGGUAGCCACCAAAUAAUUUUGAAUGUUACUAUGUACCCAAUAUGAAAAGCAACAUCCUUAGUUUAGGUCAACUCUUGGAAAAAUGCUAUGAUAUUCACUUAAAAGACUGUACUCUUUUCCUAAGAGAUGACAAAGGAAAUUUAAUCACAGGUGAUAAAAUGUUGAAGAAUAGAAUGUUUCCUUUACAUAUUCAAAAUGAUGUUGCAAAUUGCCUCAAAGCCUAUCACAAAGAUCCAUCUUGGAUUUGACAUCUUCGAUAUGGGCAUCUCAACUUUGAAGGACUGGAACUACUAUCCAAGAAGAACAUGGUGAAAGGUUUACCAUACAUCAAUCACCCUGAUCAACUUUGUAAAGGAUGUUUACUUGGCAAGCAGUUCAGAAAGAGCUUUCCAAAUGAGUCAAACUCAAGAGUUUAGAAGCCACUCGAGCUCACUCAUACUGAUGUGUGCGGUCCAUUCAAGCCAAGCUCCCUUGGUAAAAGUAACUACUUCCUUCUCUUCAUGGAUGAUUUUUCAAGAAAAAUUUGGGUGUAUUUUUUGAAGCAAAAAUCAGAAGUCUUUGAAGCAUACUCAAGAUUAAGAAAGUUCCAAGAUCCCCCCAACAAAAUGGUGUUGUAGAAAGAAAGAACAGAACCAUCCACGACAUGGCAAGAAGCAUACUCAAGAUUAAGAGGCUACCGAAAGAAUUUUGGGUUGAAGCUAUUUCAUGUUCAGUCUACUUAUCUAAUUGUUCUCCAACAAGAAGUGUGUGGGGCAAAACGCCACAAGAAACUUAGAGUGGAAGAAAGCUCGACAUCGCCCAUCUAAGAGUUUUUGGAAGCAUUGCCCAUGUACAUGUACCAGACAAAAGUAGAGCUAAGCUGGAUGAAAAAAGUGAGAAGUUUAUCUUCAUCGGCUAUGACAACAACUCCAAAGGAUACAAGCUUUACAAUCCAAACAUCGGGAAGAUCGUGAUCAGUCGAGAUGUAGUUUUUGAUGAAGAAAGAGAAUGUGAUUUUGGAUCUGGUGUGGAUGACUUCAACUUCUUUCUCAUUGAAGAAGAUGAUCAUACACAGAUAAAACAAGUAGAAAAAUGACAAGAGCCAGCUACUCCACCUAUCUCUCCAGCAUCAAUCACAUGUGGAGAUUCACCGCCAUCUUUCUUAAAUGAAAGAACCGAAGAACGUACAAGGAGUCUUCAAGAUCUCUAUGAGGUAACUGAGAGACAUGAUAAUCUCACUCUUUUUUGCCUCUUUGCUGAUUGUGAGCCAGUCAACUUCCAAGAAGCUGCACUAGAUGAGAAGUGGAGAAUUGCAAUGGAUGAAGAAAUCAAAGCCAUUGUGAAGAAUGAUACUUGGGAGCUUACUACUUUUCGCAAAGGGCAUAAGGCGAUCGGUGUCAAAUGGGUGUACAAAAUGAAAAGAAAUGUGAAAGGAGAAAUUAAAAGGCACAAGGCGAGGCUAGUUGCAAAAGGCUAUAGUCAAAAGGCUGGCAUAGACUAUGACGAGGUAUUUGCUCCUGUAGCUCGACUUGAAACUAUUAGACUUAUUAUUUCUUUGGCUGCUCAGAACAAAUGGAAGAUUUUCAAAUGGAUGUGAAGUCUGCUUUCUUGAAUGGAUUCCUUGAAAAAUAAGUUUACAUCAAACAACCAUUAGGCUAUGUGGUGAAAAGACAUGAAGACAAAGUUUUGAGAUUGAAGAAAGCUCUUUAUGGGUUAAAGCAAGCACCAAGGGCAUGGAAUAGCAUAAUUGACAAGUAUUUUCAAGAGAAUGGCUUCACCAAAUGCCCAUAUGAACAUGCUCUCUACGUCAAAGAAAAAGAUUGAGACAUUUUGAUUGAGUGCUUGUAUGUGAAUGAUCUCAUCUUCAUUGGAAGUGAUCCAAGCUUAUUUGAAGAGUUCAAGAGAGUGAUAAUCAAAGAGUUCGAGAUGACUGACAUCGGACUGAUGGCAUAUUACCUCGACAUUGAAGUCAAGCAAAAUGAAGUAGACAUAUUUAUCUCCCAAGAAAGCUAUGUAAAAGAGAUUCUCAAAAGGUUCAAGAUGAAUCUUAUUUUUCUUAAAAUUUUCCUUUUGUCUGCUGUACGGCCAAGGCGGAUGUACGGUACAGCAGACAUCAAAGGUACAAUUAAUUUCGGCUUGUUAUACUCAUUUUCUAAUGACUACAAGCUUGUUGGAUAUAGCGAUAGCCAUUAGAGUGGAGAUGUAGAUGAUCAAAAGAGCACCACAUGAUUUGUGUUCUUCAUGGGAGAUACUACUUUCACACGGAUGUCAAAGAAACAACCAAUUGUCACGCUAUCCACCUGUGAAGCUGAAUAUGUAGCUACCACAUCAAGUGUUUGUCAUGCAAUUUGGCUCAUAAAUUUGCUGAAGGAGUUGAGUUUGCCACAAGAAGAGCCAAGCGAGAUUUAUGUUGAUAACAAAUCAACAAUUGCUCUAUCCAAGAAUCCAGUCUUUCAUGAUCGAAGCAAACACAUAGAUGCUCGCUAUCAUUUCAUAAGAGAGUAUAUUGCAAGAAAAGAAGUACAAAUCAAAUAUGUAAAAUCACAAGAUCAAGCAGCUGAUAUCUUCACCAAGCCGCUCAAGCAAGAAGACUUCGUAAGAUUCAGAAGUUUGCUUGGUGUCACAGGAUCAAUUUUAAGGGGGGUGUUGGAUCAUAAACUUGAUCCAAGAUGAAUGAAUUCAAGCCCAACUUAUGGAAGGUUCCAUGAGUAGGUAUGGUUGGUGAGGUUUGAAUUAUUUGUGUUAGGUGUGGUAGGUUUGGUAGGUGAAGAUAAAUGGUUAUUAAUUUUUUGUAAUUUCUUAUUUGAAUAGUUAUGAUUAGCUUGUUUUAUGUAUAAAUACCCCAUCUCCCCUUUGGUUUAAGCAUCAAGUGAAGUAACAAAAUCUCUAAGUUGUAGAGAGUGAAAAAUAAGAGUUGUAGUUGGUGAGGAGUGUUGUUGAAGAAAUAAAAUAGUGUGUGUUUUUAGUAUUAUAUGUGUUAAUUCUCCAACAGUAAUAUUCUUUAUUUAAAUCCUAACAAAUGGUGGGAUUUGGACUUGUGGCUACAAACAUUGAGUCCUCAGCGGCUGCAAAAUUUCAUAACUUAAUUUUAGUUGACGUGGCAUGUGUCCUAUCACAUAAAUGCAGAUAAUAAUUAUCAAUACAUUAACCAAAUGAAAAUUAUUAGUUUAAAAAUUAAAAAUCUGAAUUUUUUGUUUGUGGGAGGGAAUUUAAAAGGGAGGGACUAGACAAAUGUGGUGACAAAUGACAUGCAUUACCAAAAUUGAGAAUACUAAGUCAAGGCAACUGAAAACAUCUUUGUCAAUUGCAAUGAACCGAGCACAACCAUUCAUAAUUAACCCCAAAAAAAAAUCAAACUACUAAUGGAGGGGCACAAGUAUAUCUAUAAAUAAAAGCCAUGUUUAGGCCAUUUGGACAUGAAAAUAAUGCUGCUGUACGGCCAAGGCGGAUGUACGGUACAGGAAAAUUAACAAAAAGUGUCAAAAGGGAAGCAUUAAACACAACAUUGAAGCACUGACCCAAAAUCCCAGAGCAACCAAAUCCCGUAAAAUUAUAAUAAAGCAUCAAAACCGAAACAACAAAACUAAUCACAAACUGAACAAUCUGACAAUCAGUGACCAAUCUCUUCCACUCACUACUAGAAAAAUGGUCUUUACUAACAUUAGAAUAGUGUCAGUAAUUACUUUUAGUGACACUUACUAAUUGUGUCAGUAAUCUGGCAGUCAGAAAAAUAGUGACACUUGUAAGUGGUGUCAGUGAUUACUAUUACUAUAGCAUCACUAAAAUCAUAACACCAUGGUAUCAAAAUAUUACAAUACUAUAUUAGUAUUUGUGAUUACUGUUACUAUAGUAUCACUACUUUAUGUAUUAUUUAAAAAAAUAAUUAUAUAAAAUGACAUAUUGCCCAUUGAUUUGUUGAUAGAAUUAAAAGACUGUGAGAAAUAAGAACAAAAAUCAAUUUAUAUAUCAAAACCUUUCAUAACAUUUAAAUAUUAUCAAUAUAUAUUACACAAUCCAAAUACUUCAAUACACAAAGACGUCUUACUACAAGACAUCUUAUUCUUAUAAUUGAAUAAUCUUAACUGCUAUUAUCCAAUCAAAUUCCUUCUACUCGUAGCUGAAUUUAAGGGCUAAAUUUACCAAAUCUAAAAGCUAAAUUUAGAAGGAUUAUUAUUUUUCACUCCAUGAACAUAAGUACUGCAAUCAUGCAUUAUCACGAACAUCUUCUUCAUUCACGGACAGCUUCUUCAUUCGAUAAAUUUGAUGGGUUAGGGAUAUAAGUUGAAGAAGAAACACUUUAAACAUAUUAAUCAUAUCUGCAAACAAAUAAAAGAAAAAGGAAAAGAAAUUGGUUGCCAAAUUCCAACAGUUGCAAAAUAAAUUAACAAGCAAUACAGAGACAAAAGUUAAUAGAAAUAAACAUAUUUUGCUCGAAAAUAUUUUAUAUUUGUCUAUUUUCGUAAAUUUGUGAUGUUUAGGGCUACUAUGUUAGGGGCGCAAAACCCUAAUUUUAUUAAUUCAAACUUUUUCAAUAAAACAUUCAUUAUUGAGAAGCUUUGUUUCUCUUAUCAAUCAAAUUCUUAUGUUUUCACACUACUAGAAAAAUGAUCUUUACUGACUUUAGAAUAGUGUCAGAAAUUACUUUUACUGACACUUAUUAAUUGUGUCAGUAAUCUGGGAGUCAGAAAAAUAGUGACACUUGUAAGUGGUGUCAGUGAUUACUAUUACUAUAGUAUCACUAAAAUAAUAACACCAUGGUAUCAAAAUAUUACAAUACUAUAUUAGUAUUUGUGAUUACUGUUACUAUAGUAUCACUACUUUAUUUAUUUUUUAAAAAAUAAUUAUAUAAAAUGACAUGUUGCCCAUUGAUUUGUUGAUAGAAUUAAAAGGCUGUGAGAAAUAAGAACAAAAAUCAAUUUAUAUAUCAAAACCUUUCAUAACAUUUAAAUAUUAUCAAUAUAUAUUACACAAUCCAAAUACUUCAAUACACAAAGACGUCUUAUUACAAGACAUCUUAUUCUUAUAAUUGAAUAAUCUUAACUGCUAUUAUCCAAUCAAAUUUCUUCUACUCGUAGAUGAAUUUAAGGGCUAAAUUUACCAAAUCUAAAAGCUAAAUUUAGAAGGAUUAUUAUUUUUCACUCCAUGAACAUAAGUAUUGCGAUCAUGCAUUAUCACAGACAGCUUCUUCAUUCGAUGAAUUUGAUGGGUUAGGGAUAUAAGUUGAAGAAGAAACACUUUAAACAUAUUAAUCAUAUCUGCAAACAAAUAAAAGAAAAAGGUAAAGAAAUUGGUUGCCAAAUUCCAACAGUUGCAAAAUAAAUUAAAAAGCAAUACAGACACAAAAGUUAAUAGAAAUAAAUAUAUUUUGCUCGAAAAUAAAAAAAUUCAUAAGCUAUGAACAGAUCAACUCAAUUAUCUUAAAGGAAAAUUAGAGAAUAAGAAUGUUGUAACUCAUUUGAUUAGAAAUAAGGUAGAAUAUAUUUAACUAUAGAUAUAAAUUAAAAAAAAAAAAAGGUGAUGAUGAAUUCAUUCUCUUAUAUAUAUAUGAAUAAGAGAGAGUGAGAGAGCAAAUUAUAGCAUUCAAAUUUUCAGUAUAACAUCUAGUUUCAAGAAAGUGUGUUUAUUUCUCAUUAUAUAAAAAAUAAUGAUUUUCCAGCUAAAAAAAAUUCAUAAUAAAAUUUAAUAUCUAAUACAACAUAGUAUGUUUUUUUUUUCAAAAAAAUGCUUGCAAUUAUGUCUUUUAGCCACCAAGCCUAAGUGUGAGAGUAAAGCAUUUAACUCUUGAUAAUUACACACUUUCUGCAUAAUGCAAUUAGUGUCAACUCAUUCUAAAUUACUCUACUUGAAUAAUAAAACAUUUCAGCCAUUGUAUUGAUGGAGCUACUAAUCCAGAAUAUUCACAAUAAAUAUAGAGUUCAAGGCAAUUAAGAGAUGUACCUCUUAAAGCUAUGCAUAUUCUCUAUCUUUCUAAGGCAAUCUUUAAUUCAUAUAGUUCCACCCCCUUUGAAUUCACAAACCAAGACUUUACAAACAAAGGCCUUAUAUCAUUAAUCUUNNNNNNNNNNNNNNNNNNNNNNNNNNNNNNNNNNNNNNNNNNNNNNNNNNNNNNNNNNNNNNNNNNNNNNNNNNNNNNNNNNNNNNNNNNNNNNNNNNNNNNNNNNNNNNNNNNNNNNNNNNNNNNNNNNNNNNNNNNNNNNNNNNNNNNNNNNNNNNNNNNNNNNNNNNNNNNNNNNNNNNNNNNNNNNNNNNNNNNNNNNNNNNNNNNNNNNNNNNNNNNNNNNNNNNNNNNNNNNNNNNNNNNNNNNNNNNNNNNNNNNNNNNNNNNNNNNNNNNNNNNNNNNNNNNNNNNNNNNNNNNNNNNNNNNNNNNNNNNNNNNNAAACUCCACAGAAAGCAAAGAUUAACCUCGAAGGAGAGCAACAACCACAAGAAUCAGGGGAAAUAAAAACUGAGGAAUCAGCAUUGAUGGACUCAGCUACAGCUUCAUUGACUGACCCCCUUCAGAGCUCCAGAAUUGAAACUACGAAAGUGGCUGAACAAGUCGGCGAAGGGAGAGAACCAAAAGGCAGCACUGAAGAAAAUCAAACCAAAGAACCAGAAGCCAUUCAUGUAGAAGAUGCAAAAAUGGAUGAAGAACAAGACGAAGAUGAACAUAAAAGGAUAGACUCAAGCUCUGAUGCUCCAGUCAUGAUUGAAGCCAAAAGAGAUGCUGUGGAUGUUAGGGUUGCACAACUUGGUCACUGGCAAAUGAUGAGGAACCUAUUUGAAAUAAUCUGAAACUAAUGUAUCGUUAUUUACUAAAAAUAAAAAUAUAGGGAACUCAAUGUUAUUCACUCGAUAAUCAAAUAUUUCGAUUUCUCAUAGUUACAUGUCACCUUUCGCAAGUCACAGGACUCGUUGUGACUCGAGUCGCUUCCUUCCCUUUUGCUUGCAGUCUCCGCCCAUUUUUGUAGCACAGAAAAAAAAAACUAAUUUUUAUUUUUCAAUUCAAAGUCUGUGACUCUCAUCGAUCCCUAUAACACAACAAAACAACAAAAUUUAACACGGAAAAAAAAAGGAAUGUGUAAGCAAGUAUUCAAGAGAAUAGAAGAAAACCGAGCAUACUGAGUUACUUGGAGCUCCGAGACCUUUCGAAGAUCGAAUUAGCAGAAGAAAACAAAACUUCAGCUAACAAGAAAUCCCGAGAAGUCGAAAUGAGAGGGGCGGUGUGCACUCGAGUAGGGUGAGCAAAAUGUGGAGAUCUAAAGCGGGUCUCGUGAGCUUGUGGCAUAGCGGCAUGGUGGAUGUUUUAGGGUUUCGAGAUCGUUAGGGUUUCGUAUGGUAUGGGUCUUAGAAUUUGAGCAGUGGUGUUAGGAUUUCUUAUGGCAUGGACCCUUGAAUUUUAGGGCUCGAAGUUUUAUAGGUAUGAAGAAGAAGAAGGAUAUCGCCAGAGAGAUGAGGCGGCUGGCCAUGGAUUUAAGAGUUAGGGAAUUUUAUGUUUAUGUUGAUUUAGGGUUUCUUGCUUUUGCUUUUAUAUUGUUGUUUUCUAUAUUAAUUUAAUUUGAUAAUUUCAACAUGUUCACCACAAACAAAUUUAUGAAUUUUGCCUGGUGGUUUGUUCGUUGAACAUAAAGCACUUUAGUUUUGAGGUCCUAGGUUCGAGUCGCAACUAAAACAAAAAUAGAAUUUUUUUUUGUUUCUGAUACCUUAGUGUCGACGAUCUCUGAUGUUUAAUGUACAAACACCAUAGAAUCAGUAAUUUGUGACACUUGUUUGUUAAACACAGAAAAUGACCCAAAUAUAUGUAAUUACUGAUACUUUUUAGAAAAGUGUCACAAGACAAGUAUCAGUAAAAGCUAUUUUUCUAGUAGUGACUUUGGCAGCAACCCCAUCACGCACAAUAGAUAGUACCCGUACAUGAUCACAUGCACACUUGCAUUGGUGACAAGUGCAAUAGGGAACAAAGACUGCUUCGUCUGUAACCAAAGGUAGCACAUUACGACAACAGUUGCAUGGUGGUAGACGUGGAGGAACGUGAGACGUUGGAUGGAGUUUGACAAAAUAAUCAAAAGGGUGUCUAAGAAUUCGUGUAUUUUGGAGAGGUAGAAGAUGUAAGCGUGGAAGAAGAGAGGGCCAGAUGGAGAAAUGGUAGGGGGAAACAGAGGGUGUAGCGGAGGUGGGGUAAAUGGAGGAUGAUGGAGAGAGUGCAACCAACGGCCAUGACGAGGGAGGGAGGAGGAGGGUGGGGUUGUGGACGGCUGUGAUGGGCUUGAGGAUGUGGGGUCCAAAGAGAGGUGAUGAUGAUGGUGAUGUUGACGUUAAUGUGUGGUAGAGGAUGAAUGUGAGAGAGAGGUAAGUGAGGAUGGAGAGAAUGAGGAAGUGUGGGCAGGAAGCUGGGGUUUGGUUUUGAGUCCAUGUGAAGUUGAGGAUUUGUGGGUGGUUUACAAGCCAAUAUUGAAGUGUUGAGGUUAGGGAUGGAAAACAGCGGGCCUGGGCUGGGCUUUUUCAAGCCCAUGUCCAGGCCCUCUGUCAGUUAGGGGUAUGGGCUCGGGUCGGGCUUGGGCUUUAUUUAUUUAUUUUAAAAAUUUUAAAUUAUUGUAAAUUUGAAAUAAAUUAAUGACCAACAAGUUAUUACAAUCAUAGAUAAAUUAAAGAAAAUGAAUAUUUCAAAUUAAAAUAAUAAAUAAAGCAAAUAAAAACUCAUAACUUUAAUUUUCUUUAAUACUGGAUUUUCUAAUUCAAAUGCUCUCUUAAUUAAUUGACACAAAAGAGAGAAUUUAAUAUCAUAAUUUUAGUUUUUUUGAAUCAUAAUUGAUUUAUAAGUUAAGAAUUUAAGUUUUCUUUUUUAUUUUUAAAUUACUUUUCAAUUUUAAUAUAUUAUUCUAAUUUAUAAAAUUAUUUUUUUUAAAAGUAGUGGGCUUGGGCUUUGUCCGGGCUUUUUUUCUUAGGCCCUUGUCCAGGCCCUCAUGGGUGAGGGCCGGGCCUAAGCCCGUGGACUUGGGCUGGGCCCGAGCGGGCUUGGGCCGGCCCGGGCUUUUUUGCCAUCCCUAGUUGAGGUGUUUGAAUUUGAAGCCAUGGCUGGUUUUUGGGGGAAGAAAGAUUUGGAAGAGAUGAUGUUGAGAGGAAUGGGGGAGUUUAGAAAGUUUUGGGAUAACGUGAGGGGUAUUUUGGGCAUAUGUAGUUGUCUUAGCUUAAUUUUUGUUAAAAAGAAAUAAUAAUAAUAAUAAUAAAGGAUCCUCUUUUCUCAUGUCAAUUUAAAUCUCCGAGUGUGUUUCCAACAGUUGCUUUUCUUUUUCUAUUUUUGCAUUUUGAAUCAUAAUUUUUCAAUUCAAUAAUGGCCUCUUGAAUUGUAAAAUAUGGUAAAAAGGGGGUGGGGUGUAGUGUCUAGGCCUCUGUGAGUGUGACAAGGGUAUCUUUGGACGUGGGUGUCAUGUCAUUAGAUUUUUUUGGCUAUUUCUGCUCAAUCAAACCUGUGGAUUACAUGCACUCAACGUGGAACCCUUUUGAAUGAACGUAAUGGUUUUGCUGGGAUCACCGAAACCCAAGAAGCAUGGAACUGGGACCAAUUUGUUGACAAAAAUUGAAGUACAUCAAGUAAGGAUUUCCACAAUCGGGCUAGAAAGGACAACUGAAAUCCGGUAAGAGUUUCGUAGAGCAUAAUUUUUAAGAUACGACGUUAGAGUAUUUACUAGACAUUCAUAAUUAUUAAUUAAAUUGAUCUAAUCUCCCACUCUAAUAUAAAAAACUUAAAAUAUUUUUUAAUAAUUUUAUCGAAACUAUUAUUUGACAAUCAUAUUUACUUCAUAAUAUCAACAUUUAUAUUAUAAUUACAGCUAAUACUAAACAAGAACUCCAGUAUGAUAAAGUAAUUAAAAGUUAUGGUUUUUUGGCAUAACAAGAUGAUUCAAACUUAAACUUGCAUCAAAAGUGUAUCAAAGAAAUCACAAAGACGCUCUGUUUGACAAAUCUACAGCAGAAUUUGUAAAAUUUAACUGGGUUACAGAGAGUGAAUAAGACAUUGUUAACGUCAUUAUUUAUAGAGUUGUAAUUUUAUAGCAAGUCUAGUUAAAUUGGAAGUUUAUUUAUUGCAUAUCUUGUAAUAGGGAUUAAUUUAUUAAUUCCCUAAUUUAGUGAGAUUCCAAUUUAUUAGGAAUAUUUGUUUCCUAAUUUAAUUAGAUGUCUAAUUUAGAAAGUCAGUUAGUAAUGGGAUUUUAUAAGGCAAGAAUAUCAAAUUUAUUCUUAUUCAGAUUCAUAGGAAUUAUAAGAGGAAAGAAACUCUUAUUUGGAAAGAAUCCAAGUCUUUUAAGACUUGCUAUUUUGGUGAAACUUUAGUGCCUAUAUAAAGAGAGGUAUUUCACAAUUGACGUUUGAUCGCACAACACAGAGCAUAAAGCAGAGAAGCAAAAUUCGGCCUCCUCCCUAGAGAAUCCAGAUUUGGCGCACCAUGUUGUGUUGAUUUGUUUUCUUAUCUUCUUUUCAUCUCUGUGGAGAGUGUAUGUGGAUCUUGGAUCACUAAACGUUGAAGAAUUGAAGAAUUGAAGACUUGCUAUUGAUCACUUUGUGAAGUACCUUGAGUUUUCUUAUCUUCUUUUCAUCUCUGUGGAGAGUGUAUGUGGAUCUUGGAUCACUAAACGUUGAAGAAUUGAAGAAUUGAAGACUUGCUAUUGAUCACUUUGUGAAGUACCUUGAGUUUUCUUAUCUUCUUUUCAUCUCUGUGGAGAGUGUAUGUGGAUCUUGGAUCACUAAACGUUGAAGAAUUGAAGAAUUGCUAUUGAUCACUUUGCGAAAGUACCUUGAGGAUCGUGGAUCAAGAGGGGUAGCAAUUAUUCAAGAGAAGUAGAUUCAGUCCAAGGUUGAGUAAACUGUAUGAUGAUAAACUGUAAGUGAGAGUCUUAAAUUUGGUAAAUCCAUAGGUUGUAACAUCUCAACUUAGUGAAUUGCUUUUCAUCUGGGCAUGACCUCGUGGAUGUAGGAUUGAUUAAUCCGAACCAUGUAAAAAUCUCCGUGUCAUUUAUUAUCUGCAUUUUAUUGUGUUUUUGGAAAUUUAAUAUUUUUGAUGCGGAUGAACAGUUCUUGUGAACAGUUGCAGUGAACAGUAACGGUAAACAGUAAUAGUAAGCAGUACUUCCGAAAAAUUAAUUAAGUAAUUAAUUUUUUAUUUUUAAUUGCCUACAUCUAUUUGUGAUAGAUCUAAAUUCUUUUCAGAUAUAAUUAUCAUCAUCAAUCUUUUGCAGCCACAUGCAGUACAUAGAAACUGUUUAUGGCCCUAAAUAACUGGAAAAUCAGAAAACAUUAAGAACAAGAGACUAAUCAUUUUAAUCGCAACGAAACAUACACACUACGAAAAUCUAAAAUUGAAUUACUUCGAAUGAAUGUGCCUGUUAACAGGAAUUGCACAAGCUAAUCCUUGCAGCCUGCGUCAUGGAGCUUCUCCCAACGAGCAAGUGAGCCUUAAACACUUAUCACUCAGCUCAAACUAAAAUGAAAUUACUGUGGACAUGUGAAUUAAAAAUAGAUAUAAUAGCGGGUUUCUCAAAGCAAAGUCAAGAUAAGAGAUUAACUCUGCUCCGUAAUUACAUUAAAAAUAACAAACAAUGAAAAACAGAGCUAGAGAAGAACUUACCUGUGCGUUGAGACCAUGUGGGGAAUGUGAGAUAUCUUCUUAGAUUUGGUUUGAGAAACUCCAUCUUCAUCAAAUGUUUAACCAAAACCAUAUCCAUUCACAUUCAAAUUCAGAAUCUUGUUAGAAUGAGAGAUGAAUAUUGAAGAAUAGUGACUAUGCAUUUAUCUCCUAUUAUUUGGUCAUUAUUCUCUAUAGUACCAUAGAAAUGAAUAAUUCUAUGAAUCAGAUAAAUCAGCCUUCUUCACAAAACCAUGAAAAAUAUUUCACGGUGUUCUACACAGUCCAGAUCAGCAUUGGUGACAAACAUUUGAUGAAGACCCUGCCAAUUAAAAUUUCAGUCCCCGUGUAGAGAAAUGUUCCAGUCAGGAAUUUUAAAGUGUGGGAAACCUUUAAAACCGCAUGGUUUUAAAAGCUUAAAACUGUAGGCCUUUAAAGCUGUGUGGUUUUAAAGCUUUCUCGGACUUUCCCGCACUUUAAAAUCCCUGACCAGAAAACUACUCUCCCCAUGUAAUAAAAUUUCUUAUUUUUCUUAAAAUUUUCCUUUUGUACACAAAUGCGGACACUUAAGAAAAAUAAGAUUUCAUACCUAAAGAAAUUGGGAUUUCUUUUGACCAUGCAAGUUACAAUUUCAGUCCCCAUGUAAUAGGAAAAAUUUGUACACAUACUUGUAGCAAAUUAAUAUGUCAUACCUCACGAUAUUUAUCAUAACCAUCGAUCUCUAGAAACCACAUGCAGACUUGUAAAACUGUUUAUGGCCCAAAAUAAUUGGCAAAAUUAGAACAGAUUUAAAAAUGAGCGACUAAAUAUUUCAAUGGGGACUAAAAUUACACAUCUUGGAAAUCUAAAACUCAAGUACAAAAAUUACAGCAAUUAAACAAGCUGGGAACUGUAGUGCAAAUGCUUUUUCAAACUCUUCAAUUGCAUAAGUUAGUUAGACUCAACCUUUCUCAAUCUUUCAAUUCACAUAUGAUAGCCUGAUAACACAAGGGAACACUGUAAGUGAAUUGUCAACUGUGACAAAUUUCGGGUAAAAAUUGUCAACUGUAGUUACUUGCGUAAUAUAUAGUGCCAACACCAAAUUCCUUCCUGAUACGCGGAAGCAUAUCAGCCCACAAACGGUUUGCUUUGUCAAUAUACUAAAAGCUUUGUAGCUUUUAAGAAACUGAGAGGUGAAAGACCUGGAAUUUUCGAUAGCAACUCAGGAUUCUAUAUUUAAAAUAUGAUUUUUGAUAACUUGCUGAUACAAAAUACAUUGCUCCGAGCACUUUUCUACAGGAGCUAAAAUCAAGCCAGUCACUUCCAUUUGUUGCAGUUUUAAUGCAGAAAGCAAAAGGGGGGACAAAUUCUGCAUGAUAUCACUUGUAAUACGGCGUGUUUGCGGAAUUAAAUAAUUACAAAAUUACAUUCUUGAGUGUACAGAAAUGAUAUAUAGCAAAUCAGGCAUAAAGGAAUAACAAUAUAAUUUUACAUUGUUCGGCUUUUGGCCUACUUUACAGUGAAGACGUGAAGAGAAUUUUACUAAGAAAUAGGAGUGUACUAAUACUGAAGAAAAACAUUCACUGACAACCCAAAUCACUGAUAUUUACUUGAUUUCUCACUCACUCUAAUAAGAACAUUCAUUCUCCCAUAAUUCACUCAAAUGAAACUUUCAUUGGAAGGUCUUAUUAUUAAGGCUUUAGCACCACUUCAUAUGCUCAACAAUUCAAAUUUGAGGAUGACAUUUCACAAAAUGGAGGGCUCUAUUUGGCUUGUGAACAAUGUUCCUCACCAUCUUCAUCAUUGCCAUACCAGUUGCACUGAACAAUCUUCAUUCUGACAUUUGCCCUAUUUAUCUGAUAACACAAGAAUCGAAAACAACUGUUAGAAAUUCUAAGCUUUAUAUAUAGCCAAAAUGGUGAAUAAGAUGAUGCACUUGAUAAUAAAUACCUGAUUUAAUAAAUAAUUAAGGAGCCGGUAACAAUCACAGAAUCUCAUCAUGUGGGGAAAGCCUUGGCAACAGAAGAUGGUGCUUUCAUCCAAGCAACAAUAACUUUCCAAUUUCAUAAGGUAGCUUAAUGGCCCUUUUAAGAAUAUCUGCACCAGCCUAACAAUUAUUCAUGGAAAUUCAUAUUCAGAAUCAUAUUAGUAGGAGAGAUGAAGUAUAAUAAGCGACUUGGCCACUAUAUAUGCAUUUAUCACCUUCAAUUUGCUCAUCCUUAUCUAGAGUAUUGUUUUUGGCGUUAACUUAAUUAGCCGCAAGCCACCUGAAAAUGGUUUUAAAUAAUGACAGAAGAAGCAAGAUUAAAAUAACCACAAGAAGUAGAAAUAUACUUUUGUUAUAUUUAGAGCAUCUUCUACUGUCAGGUUCUUAUUCCUUUAGGAACUUGAAAAUUAGAAAAUAUUCAGAAUGAGUGACUAAAUAUUUUUAAUCAAAACUAAUUAAACUCUUUUUCGCCUUCUUCUCUCUAUUGAUGGAAGCUUUUUGUUCAGCUCCCCACAGACGGUGCCAAAAUAUUGAUUCGAGAUUUUGGUGUCUGCUCGUCCACGACCAGGAUCUCUCCUUAACUCUUGAACUUGCAGCCAACCGGGUAUACUUCACGUUACUCUUCUAGGCGAGUAGAGCUAUGCCUCUUACAACUUCUACUCGGCGGACUCCUGCGCACACAAAAAUUAGUCAGAGCACGCCGGAAGUUUUCCCGGCGUAAACCCUCCGACGCUCAAGUCAGAAAUUCAGGCUUACUUUUUAGGAAACUCUGCCACUGAUCUCGUGGCUCCCUAAUGAUUUCGUAGGCAAUAGAAUCUCUAUGAGCUUUCCUAAGGUUCUCAGUAGAAUGCUCUUCCAGAAUUUCCCUUCCCUCUUAAUUUGAUAUGUAAAAUGUCUAACCCUUUUACCUUUGUUGAUUGCCUCUUUAAUAGCCUUCUUGUGAAUUCGGCCCCCCAUGAUUCACGUUCACCACCUCCCAUAGUUCCUGGGAGUGGAUGCUUGAAUAUUGUAGUUGCAGCCGAGUGGAUUUCGUGCCUAGAUUCUCGGAUAGUAGUGCAUGUCCCGUUAACCGCUGUGGACUGGGUCUGCUGACGCCGGACCCCAUCAAGAAAGGCUCUCGGCUCCUAACAAGAGGCCUGCUCAUGGUACGGUCCAACAGAGGGUGUCCUCGUAAACGAGCAGAAAACUCCUGCUCUCGGCUACCCGCUUCCAGACCUCACAUGUCUGCUCACUUAUAGGAAGGUCGACUCCUCGUUUAGGGUAUGACUGGUCGCUUCAUAAUAUACCCUCAAACAAGAUGUAAGUGAGAAUGGAGAGAAUAAGGAAGUGUGGGGAGGAAGCUAGUGUUUGGUUCUGAGUCCUUGUGAAGUUGAGGAUUUGGGGCUGGUUUACAAGCCAAUAUUGGAGUGUUGAGGUAAUUGAAUAUGAAGCCAUGAUUGGUUUUUGGGAGGAGAAAGAUUUGGAAGAGAUGAUGUUGAGAGGAACGAGGGAGUUUAUAAAGUUUUGGGAUAAUGUGGAGGGUAUUAUACAAUUGCGUUUAGUGGCAGGAGGGUACAUAAACACAUGAGAAAGAACUAUUUUUAGUCCAAUUUCAUGUUUGGAUGUUGAGGUUGAUGUGGAAAGGGUGUGGCUUCCACGUAAAACCCACCGUUUCGUUCUAAACUAAGCGAAUUUAGGAGAUAACUCAAAUAAUUAAUUUUUUAUUAGUUUAGUAAUAAGAAAUUUCGAUUAUAUUUUAAAAGUAUAAUUCAUUACAACAAAAAUACUUAAUAAAGAUAACUGUUAUUUAAGAUAUUACAUUUUUACAAUAAUAAAAUAAUUCAAAAUUUUAAUUAUUAUAACACUAAAAUUUAUAAUAUAAUCCAUUCAUAUACUACAUCUGUUCAUCACAUAAAAUAUAAAAUAGUACUAAAUAUAAUCUUGUUACGACUACUCCUAUAAUAUCUAUCACAUCAUUUACUAUAAUAUUCCAUCUGGCAUGCCAAAAAUGCAAAGUUUGAGUAAGAUUUGUUAAAGUUGAGCAACAUCUUGUAUGGUCAAGCACGUCGAGUAUGGACUUGCAUGAUCAAGUAAGUACAACUAGAGCUGGCAAAACAGGUUAUCGGGUCGUGUUUGUGUCGUGUCAGCUUCAUGUUGUGUCAAAUUUAGGUCGACCCAUUUAAUAAUCGUGUCAAAAUAUUGAGAGCCAAACCCGACACGAAAAAAUAAUGAGGUUACCCAAUAACCCGCUUAAUAUCUAUAUAUUAAAUAAAAGUUACAUCAAAUAUUUACACAUUGUCAUACAUACGUACAUACAUACAUACAUACAUAAUUUAUUGAUAUUAUAAAAUAUAUAUAUCUGCAAAAAUAUUACAUAUUUACAUUAUUGAGGUUUUAAUUAUAUAUAUGUAAAUAAUAUUAUAUAUCAAUAUUAUAAAAUAUACAUAUCUACCAAUACUUUAUACAUUUACACUAUUGAAGCUCUAAAUAUAUUUAAAAUUUUAUAAAUAAAACACCGUAUUUAUAUUCAUCCUUUUAAAGAAUAAAAAUAAAAGAGAAAAUCAUCUCUAAUAUUUGAGUUUUUACGACAAGAACCUACAAAUUAUUUUAAAAUAGAAAAUAUAAUCGGGUCAUUGAUAAGGUAAAUGGGUCAAGAAUUUUAACCCAAACCCGACACGAAAAAAACUGUGUCGACCCAGACCCGACCCAUUUAAUAAUCGUGUUAAAUUUAACGACCUAUACUCAUUUAUUCGUGUCGGGUAAUUGGGUUGUGUCAAAUUUUGCUAGCUCUAAGUACAACUAAAGUCGGGUAGAGUCUGGUAAUUGAGGUUGGACAACUAUACCUUUUAAGCUACAUAAUUAAACAGUUUUGGUAAACAUCUGCUAUUGUGACUUAAAAAUUAAUUUGAUUCAAUCUAAUACUUUAUUAGAUUUAAAAAAUAAUAAUAUAUUUAUUAAUUUAUUAAGAUUGUUAUUUAAAGUCAUACAUUUACUACACAUUGUCAACUUUCAGUAUUUUAUUUUUCACAACAACUAGUAAUAUCAAACAAGACCUAAGCUAAGUAUGAUCAAUUAAUUAAAGUUAUGAUUUUUUUGUACAAAAUAAUCAUCAGAUAAUUAGUCUGUAAAGUAUCUCAAGAAUUAAUGUCACACAAAUUAUAUAGAUAAAACUAAUACUUUAGUUUUCAACAUUACUACAAAGUACCACAGAAAUUCUGUCUCUCGGGAAGGUUCACAUAACAAAUUAUCGUACACUGAAGUAAAUAGUUUUAUCUUUCUCAUUCUUCCUCCUCCCUUCUUCAUCUUCCCCAUCUACAACUUCACCUUCUUUCUCAUCAAGCACAAGACACAUUACCCAGCCCUUCUAUUCCACAUUCUCGAAGGAGUUGAAGAUUUUUUAGAGAUGUAAGCCUACACGUACUGCUAUCAUCAACACCUCCACUCACAACUAACUUUUCCAGUGUUCGAAGACUGAUUAAUUUAGAAAUCCCGACUGGCGUGUAUUUCAAAGAACCAGUGCCAAAACUCAGUAGUCUCUCUAUACAUAGUCCACACAAAUUAAGAUAUUUUAAAUGUAUCAAUUUUCCGACAUUUUCUGGAAUUUCUGUUAUUCCUGAUCACCAAUGCCUUAUAACUAAUGCCCUUAAAUAUGCCACUUUACUAAAUAACUCCAGAUGGAUACUGCUAUCAAGAGACGGAUUGUCAAAACUAUCAUUAUAAAUUAAGAGGGUACGCAAUUUAUUUAGUCCAUGAAUGGACGUGGGAAAUGAAGCUCCUCCUUCAAAGUUUAACCCUAAGUGACGGACUUUCUCUCCAAAAGAGUUUAUGACUGAUUCUGUGCCAACGUUAAUUUCUAGCCACGAACAUUCUUUUCUACUUACAAAUUGGGAGAAAUCAUAUACUGUGUCGUGCAUCUUGCAACUCAUAAUAUUGUCAUCAUCAUCUUUCUUAAACUCCUGAAAGAAAGAGCAUGCUGCUAAAAUGUAGAAAUGCUCUUCCCUAAUCAUCUCCAUCUCUUCGUCUUCUUCUGCAUUAAGGUAACCUUGAGCCAUCCAUAGUGAAAUUAGUUCCUCUUUAUACAUAUUGUAGUCUUUCGGAAAGACAGUACAAUAUGAAAACAUCGUUUUACCAUAGAAUUGGACGACAAAUCAUUAUAACUCAACAACAAAGGAGUCAAAAGACCUUGCCCAACCUCUUUUACUUUCCACAUUUCACUAUCUAAAAUUCUUUGCCAUUCUUUUGAGUGCAAGAGAAUCCCUAUUACCUUUGCAGCAAGAGGCAGGCCUUUGCACUUGUGUGCAAUUUUUCGCCCGAUUGGUUCUAAUUUUUCAUAAUCCUCGAAAGAGCGAUCGAAAAAUGCUAACCGCUUAAACAACGACCAGCAUUCCUCUUCAGUCAAUUGCUCAAUGAAGAUAAUAUUUGUUGAUCCCAUCAUACGUGCAACUGACUCAUUACGCGUAGUAACUAAAAUUUUACUUCCGUGGAGACCAUUCUUUACGCAAAAGAAGAAUGGUUCCCAUUUAUUGUAAUCCCCAUCCCAUACAUCAUCUAAGAGAAGAAAAAACUUUUUUCCUUCAAUUGAUCUAUGGAUAUGGCUCAUAAGAGAUUGGAAUUCGCUUAAACUAGAAGCUGAUUCACCCAGACCUUCAAUGAUUGCUUUAGCAACCCUAAUCUCCUCAAAAGUGUCUGAUACACACACCCAUAUAACUUUCUCAAAAUUUCUUUUCACCUCAUCGUUAUUAUAGGCUAGUUGUGCAAGAGUGGUUUUACCUAUACCCCCUAACCCAACUAGUGAGAUGACGUGAAGGCCUUUUUGUUCACUACUUUCACACAACAACUUGUUUAAGAGCUCAUUUUUCUCAUCAACUCCACUAAAAACCUCUCCCUCAUCGAUGAAGGAGGUGGUUCGCACUCGCUCUGGUUUCUUAACAUUGUUACUCAAAUUCUCAACAAAUUUAAA